rnacentral:lncRNA from 1 species
UUUUUUUCGAGCCUUUGUAUUUCUGUUUUUCUUCAUUAUCUGCUGGAAAACAUUCAGUAAUUUUCUUCAAUAGAAACGAUAAUAUGUAUACCUCAAUCCAUACAAAAUGUUUGUACCUAAGAAAAAACAAUCAAAAUAAUAUACUAACUGUGGCAAGCAAGAGAGCAAUCUAUUUGGUUCUUUUAACAAACAUCAUCAUUGGUUCCAUAUUAGUAAUCACAUAUUUAUUGUUGUAUGCUAUCAAAUAUAACACAAUCCACAAGCAAGUUUCCCAAAAAGUAUAUGAAGAAACCUGUAAAAAGGGACAAAAGAGAAGAUAAAUUUUCAAUCAUCUUCAUUGGAAAUUUUAACAGAGUUAAAAAAAAAAUACAAAAAUAGCAAAAAGAAAUUGCAAGGGAUACAUGAAUCACUAUGACUUACGGUAAAAGAUUAAUAUUCAUAAAAUAGGAGGAAGAAAGCUUUGAGAAAUGGAACACACUUCAUAAGAAGCUUAAUAAAUGUAUAUGUAUUUGACUGUCUUAAUGCAAAAAAUCCUACAAAUAAUAGUGGCAGAAAUAAAAGAUUUGUUUUCUAAAGAACCAAAUGUAAUGAAUUCAACCAUUUCAAAAGCGUUAUGAGUUGUGGGCGGAGAGGUGCAAGAAUAGUAAUGUUGCAGUGCAAUUAAAAUCAAUUUUCAUUGUUUAUAUGAAGAAACUUGUAGAAAGGGACAAAAGAGAAUAUCAAUUUUCAAUCAUCCUUGCUGAUAUUUUUUAACAGAGGUAGACGAAAGUCACCAAGAUAGAAAAAAGGUAUUGUCAUUGUUACAUGAAUCACUAUGAUUUAUAGAAAAGAUUAAACUCCAUGAAAUUGGAGGAAGAAAACUUUGAAGAAUGAAACAAACUACAUAAGAAGCUUAAUUAAUGAAUUUGAAUUUGACUACCCUAUAGCGGAAAAAAAAACACCUACAAAUAAUAGUGACAGGAAGUCCCUCUAUUUAUAGACAACAAAUGGUAGUGUGAACAAAUUUUUAUUGUGCCUUGUCGAAAGGGUCACAACUCAUUGGAAAAGUUACAACUUUUUGGAAAGGUCACAGCGUUCCAUAAAAAUCAUAUUUUUUCAUAAAAGUUGCAACUCUUCAUAAAAGUUACCAAGUUCAAAAAAAAAAGUUACUACUUUUCAUACAAGUUACAAUUUUUCAGAAAAGUCGUAAUUUUUCAUAAAAGUCACUACUUUUCAUACAAGUUACAACUUUUCAGAAAAGUCGUAACUUUUCAUAAAAGUCACUAUUUUUCAUUAAAGUCAUAACUUUUCAUGAAAGAGGAAUACUAGUUUUGUAAAUAAAUAAAUUAAAAGGGAAUUAAUGAAAGGGGAAGGUUAGUUUUGUAAAUAAAUAAAGUAAAAGGGAAUUCUUGUUUGUGGUGGUGCCACACAAUCCACAAGCAAUUUUCCCAAAAAGUAUAUGAAGAAACCUGUAAAAAGGGACAAAAGAGAAGAUAAAUUUUCAAUCAUCAUCACUGGAAUUUUUAAUAGAGUUCAAAAAAAAAAGUUACAAAAAUAGAAAAAAGAAAUUGCAAGGGAUACAUGAAUCACUAUGACUUACGGUAAAAGAUUAAGCUUCAUAAAAUAGGAGGAAGAGAGCUUUGAGAAAUGGAACACACUUCAUAAGAAUAAGAAGCUUAAUAAAUGUAUAUGUAUUUGACUGUCUUAAUGCAAAAAAUCCUACAAAUAAUAGUGGCAGAAAUAAAAGAUUUGUUUUCUAAAGAACCAAAUGUAAUGAAUUCAACCAUUUCAAAAGUGUUAAGUGUUGUGGGCGGGGAGGUGCAAGAGUAGUAAUGUCGCAUUGCAAUUAAAAUCAAUUUUCAUUGUUUAUAUGAAGAAACUUGUAGAAAGGGACAAAAGAGAAGAUCAAUUUUCAAUCAUCCUUGCUGAUAUUUUUUAACAGAGGUAGACGAAAGUCACCAAGAUAGAAAAAAGGUAUUGUCAUUGUUACAUGAAUCACUAUAACUUGUAGUAAAGAUUAAACUCCAUGAAAUUGGAGGAAGAAAACUUUGAAGAAUGAAACAAACUUCAUAAGAAGCUUAAUUAAUGAAUUUGAAUUUGACUACCCUAUAGCGGAAAAAAAAACACCUACAAAUAAUAGUGACAGGAAGUCCCUCUAUUUAUAGACAACAAAUGGUAGUGUGAACAAAUUCUUAUUGUGCCUUGUCGAAAGGGUCACAACUCAUUGGAAAAGUUACAACUCUUCGGAAAGGUCACAACGUUUCAUAAAAGUCAUAUUUUUUCAUAAAAGUUGCAACUCUUCAUAAAAGUCACUACUUUUCAUACAAGUUACAACUUUUCAGAAAAGUCGGAAAAUAAAUAAAUUAAAAGGGAAUCCUGAUUUGUGGUGGCGCCAUGUAGGUGGGCAUAGGGUUCUCUUUUAUAUAUAUAUAUAUAUAUAUAUAUAUAUGAUUAUAGUUAUUACUAGAGCAUUGAUUUAUCAUAUAUUACUAAAAGUGGGAAGCUUCUAACCUCAAAGUUGGAUUACCAUUUUGCCCCUAAAAUAAAAUACAAUAUUAUUAAAUAUCUAAUUAAUUAAAUAAUAAUAAUUAUUUUAAAAACUUUUCUCAUUCAAAAAUAACAUUAAUUCUCUACAUCACCAAUUAAUCAUUAUGUCGAGAAUGUGGAGAAGAUAGAAAGUUGAAAAAAGUAAUUUAAUGUUGACCAAAUUCAUUGGAUUAUAUAAAUUAAAUAAACAUAAUUCUUUGGCAAUUAAAAUGUUACCAAGAAUUAUUAAAUGAAUGUUUGAAUUUUGAAUAGCCUCUACUAUACAGAAUUAAAAAUUGAAUAUGAGGGGUCAAUUUCCAUGUAGAAAUUAGUUUCGGAUUUAAAAGGUCAUUAUCUAAUACUAUUUAAGAUGGAUGCUAAUCACAUUAAAUUGAAUGAAUUGCACAAUUCAACAUUAGAAGAAAAGAGAGUUGGAAGCUGAACAAAAAAGUGCCGGAAGCUGCUAAUCAAGAAGAAGAAACAAAAGCAGCAGAAAAAAGAAAAGUAGAUUGAAUACAGGAGUAGAAGAAACAAUAUAUAUGUUAAUAUGUUUGACGCCAACAAUAAGAAAGUUACUAUUUGUUAUUUAUUCAUCUGAACGUGGAAACUUGCUUAGCAAUAUAUAUCAUCAACUCCUCACACUUGCUUUCUUUUUUCUAUUACAAGAUUUUAAUCCUUUAUAAUUCAUUUGUUUCCGAUUUUCAACUCGAUAUAGUUACAAACUUUAAAUUUAGUUAUCAUCGUGAGCCUUUGGAACAAUAAAUAUGAAAUCAAAUUUGUCAUUCUUCUUCUUCUGCUUCCAUAUUUUGAUGUCAUUUGUCUUUUAAUAUUUUUGGAAACCUUAAGUGAUUUUUUAAAAUUCUUUUCGGGCAUUAUUUUACCCUUAAAUUGCAAAAGGUUUGUUUACAAGAUACAAAUGUGACCGGACAUUUUAGUCAACACAAUACUUUGAUGAAUUGAGUAAUACUAUUCUCUUUUUUUUUUUAGUAAAGAAUGAUAAUAUUCAUCUAUAAGAAAAUACAAAAUAGAAGUUUGUAUCAUAGAUGACUUGCUUUAUGGGUCACACAAAGCUUAUUAUUGGUCAUUAAUGAGUUUAAUAUCUAGGCUUUUAAUUUUAUUAUGUGGAAAAGUAUUAAUUAUAGAUCAAAGAAAGUUCUAAGAUAUGUGUGCACCAGUUAAAAUUUAAAAUUGGAUAUAAAUUUAUAUUAAAAUUUAGAAAUUCACAGUUGAAUUAUCAUUUUGAUUUCAAAGUUUGAUUACCAUUUUGCCUCUACUAUAAAUUAAAAUGUUAUAAUAAUAAUUUUAUUUUUAUUUACUUUUUCUUGCUCAUUUACUCUAUCUUUUACUAAAUAAAAUAAUAAUGAUUCCAUUUAUCCCAAAAUAAAGAGUACUCCACUCGCCAUUAUAUCUGCCAACACGAGUAAUUGACAUUUUCAAUAAGUUUUAUCUAAUAAAUAUUUGUAUUCGUAACCGACUUUUUAUGUAAUCUAUAAUUACAAUAUAUGUAUUAACCUCUCACAAUUGUAAUAAUUAUAAUAAUAAUAAUAAUAAAGUUCUUGUACUAAUAGCAUGAGAUACACCGGCAGCAUACAUGUUGAGUAUAUAUAUAUCGUUAUAACAACUCCACACAACUUAGUAUGGGACACACGUGCGUUGCACGUGUCCAGGACUAGUUAUAUUAAAAAGGUGAUAUAAUAACAUUUUCAUUUUAUUUAUUUCUUUGAAUGUGUCAUUUCAAUAACGAACAAGUAAACAGAAAGAGAGUAAUAAAUUUGUGUGAUAAUAAGGACAAAUUUAAAACUUAAUAAUUAACUUCUAAACUGGACAAAUAACUAUUUUUAGUAUAAUCAACCAACGAAAAUAAACGGAGGGAGUAUAAAUCAAUUAAAUGAAAUAGUACACUAGAAUAUUUUUCAUUCAUUUGAAUUUUUAUUUUUUUAAGUGUAUGGCAUCAAUUAACAGUUGUACAAUUCAAGUGGUGCAAAAAAAAAAACCCUACCCUUACCCCCCACCUCCCCAUGUCCCCCACCCCCAAACACCCCCACAAUACACACCCAUGGGGUACUUUUGAGCACUACAAAUUCAAGACCAAACCCCUCACUUUCUUUCAUUCUUUGUUUGUCCUUCACAAAAACAAAGAACAAGAAAAAAACUAAACUCUGGCAAAAAAAAAAAAUCAUAUUUCAAAAUUCUUUCUUCAUCUUCUAGAAUUCCACAAAAUUUCAACAUUUUUUCAUCUUUUUUACUAUCAUUUUUUAUUAUUCGACAUGUCAACUAUAGUUUAUCAAGAUUUCCAGUCAUAUCAUUGAAACAACUACUCUUAAGCUCAAAGUACCAACCCCAACUACUGUACUGGAAAAUAUGAAUACUACUAAUGAAAAAUGUUGGAGUUCCGUUCAAAAUCUCUCAUCCAUCAAUUAUAUAUUCGAAGGAAAUGGAUAACUCUUAUAAAAAAUGAACUCCAACAGUGUAAUAGUGAGGCAAACCUCAAUGAGGAGGUCAAGUUACUAAAGGGGUUUAUGUAAUGUAAAACUCAUGAAAUAUAAGAGGGUGACAAAAGUUGGUUAAGGAAGAACUUGUAGGCUUCUAGGGUGGUAAACUUUCAAAUAUGCAUGACAUUUUAGGCUAAUCUCAUAUCAAAAAAUGAGAGAAACAUCAGAACAUUAUACUCACGCUACAAGACUAAAAAUAAUACACAAGUGCGUGGGUACAUACAUACAUUUAUCUCACCGAAGAUGCAAACCUUGAUCUAUUUUUGCAUCAAUUUAGAACUGGCACUACAAGAAAAGUGUGAAUUACAUAGGGAUUUUCCUUGGGAUUAGUAUGAAAAUUCGUAGGAAACUUAUUUUCCCGCAAAUUUUCAUACUAAUCCCCAGGAAAAUCCUCAUGUAAUUCACACUUCUCUUGUAGUGUGGAUCCUCUGAAGGUUCGCUGCCUGACGUGUGAUCUCUGCAAUAUGAAAUCUUGAACCUUAGAAACUUCAUACGUCAAAAGUGCAUGUCGUCAAAUGUGAGUGCGGGAGCAUAUGGUUGGAGAAGUUUUCAGGGAAAAUGAGAACAAUAGAGUGACAUCCAAGAAAACAAAAUGCCAGAAUGGCAUCUGCCAGAAUUGUUUAGUUGAUGGAAUAUCUCGAUUAAAAAAGAGUCAUCAUCAGUAACAACUUGCUAAGACGAGGAUAAUGUUUGUCAAUCCUGUUCAGUUGAUGAAAGAAGGGAGUUUCUUUCUCCAUCAAACAGUUCUCAUCAAGGAAGUUGCUUCUGCAAAAUGCAAAUAAAUUACCCUUCGGGGUGGCCCAGUGGUUUGGGCUUGGGACUUCCAUGUUGUAGGUCUCAAGUUCAAAACCCCUUGCCAGCAAAAGCAAACGGUUUGCCUUCUGGGUCGAACUCGUCGCACCGUGCUUGCCUAGUACGGGUUACCUUUUUUGUGUGGUUUGCAAGCUAUUGCAUAGGAGCGGGGUCUUACCCUGUGCGCACCCAAAGGGUAGCUAGCAGCUGUGGAUUUUCCUUGUCAUCAAAAAAGUAAAAAUAAAAAAUGCAAAUGAAAUCUCAGGGAAGGAGCUAACAGGAUGGAUAAGUAUUUAAAUUCAAUCAGUUAAUUUAUGAUAGCAGAUGAAUAAAAGGUCAAAGAAAUGAGUGCAAUCAGCAAAUAUCGCACUUUGAUACCAAACACAGAAAAUCACUGAUCACAAAACACAAUCGAUUACACAUGACAGUUGUAAGUACAAUUCUGAUCACUCCUUGCAAUCAUUAUCAACCCUAUUACAUGAUAAGACAAGAUUAUGAGAACUAAUUAAAAUUAAUAAGAACUCUGAUGAACACUAGCACCCUUCAUGAAAUCAUUAUGCAAGAAUAGAAGAAAGUAAAGACAGAGAUUAAAUGGUAAGAAUUGGAUUAAAGUUCAGUCGGUGACUCUGAGCUAUCUACGUCAUUGCACAUAAUGUUGAGUUUUGGGAUCUUUCAAGUUGAUGCUAGAUGCUAAUGGAGUUGUAUUCUGGGUAAAUAACUUGCAUUACGCACAACCUAAGAUACAUGUUGGAAAGUUAUCUAAAUAGACCUAUAAUCUCUUGAAUUCAUGCAAUUUAGCAAAAGAAUAGAACACAAUGUAAGUAGAGGAUUCACAUAAGCGCACCAAACUAAUUAGGAUGAAGGUUUGGCUAUUGUUGGUAGACUUAAUGGUUGAGGCAUUCAAUUAAUGUAGAAUUCUCCACAUAAUGGUGCUUGUAACUUCUACAGGUCUACCGCCAAGAGAAGUUCAGGGCUGUUCAGCAAUGUGAAACACUAGACAAGCAACAGUAUUUCCCCUUUAUAGAAGAACAAUUGGUCUGAAAGUCCAAGUCAUUUUAGUUUCAUUGCUGGUGAAAUUAUGAAUAGAUAAUACACAUUGACGAAAUAACUACCUUUUCACAUCCAGGAAUGCUCUAACUUAUGACUCUGUUAAAUCAUUAUCCCCAGCGGCUGAUAAGUCACAUGAAACAGUGAAUGCAUCUAUACCUUUUGUCAGACAUGUGGAACUAUAACCAGGCUUCUUAGUAGCUUGACUAUAAAGAAUGUUUGCUCAACUUCUUGUCAACUUAAGCAUUCAUCACAUCUGCAGGACCAAUCAUCACCAGGUUCACAGAUAGGGUUAAAACUCUACGUUCAAGAAAAUAUGCAGAUACAACUUUAGUUUACUUAGUCAUUCACGCAAACAUAUUCUUUACAGAGACAAGGGGAAACUAUAUAUAUAGUAAUACCAUCACAGGAAAGACAAUAUGAACCAAACUUUACAGAUGCAUCAAAACAUAAUAUCAGCAUCUACUGACACUCUUCAUUAUCAGAAUUGCCAUGAUUCCAAAGUUCCUCUUCUUUUUUUUGAGAUUGGUUGAUUCCAAAGUUACUCUUACCUCAAAAAGUUCUCCGAUUACACACUAGAGCACCUCACACUGCUAAACUUGCAAACAUCUUUCAAACCAGCUUCGGCAGCUCUCGUGUCAGGAUUGACUCUACAGCAUAAGCACAUCUUUAGAUUUUCUAUAAGUAAAAUAAGAGAUGACUAAAGCAAGAGACUUGAAAUAUCCGUACAGAGGAAAAGUAAUUGCUUGCGAGGUCCUGAAAACCGUCCUUUGUGCUCCAUGUUCUCAUACUUUUGUUGGUCACAUUAUUUGAUUUUUGUUAUAUUCUGGUUUGUGCAUUAUUUGAUUUUUAUUAUAUUCUAUUGAAUGAUCAGAACUUGGGACUGUGUAAAUGUGUAAUUGUAGUUUUAAAAAAUAUAUUGGCUCAAUCCCGGGUUUUCUUUAAACCAAGGUUCUUUGCAAGAAAAUAUCACAUCAUUAUAAUGUAAAAUAGGAAUUGAGCAAAUGUACCUUUGGAAAUGUAAAUAAUAGUGAUCCCGAGAUCUUUUGCCUUGGAAAGCUAGCUAAGAAAGCAAACAGAGAUGAACAAGCAACUAAGGCUCUUGGUCAUGUACCUUAGGAAAUUGUGAUGCCUAUAAGAAAUGAGUAGUUGAUUGGUGAAAAAGAAACACAUGAGAGUAGUAAUGAGCAAUCAGGUGAAGAAAAAAAAGUGGUGGAUUUGCAACUGAGUGGUCAGGUGAAGAUGAAAACAGAUGACAUAGGUGGUAAUCAAAGUUAGAGAAGAAAGCAUUGAGCAUAGAACAAGUGAGGAUUCAGCUGAAGAACAAGAAGAAUUCUAAGGGCAAUCAUCAAAAGAUAAUAGUGAUCCUGAGUCUCUUUUGCUUCCAGUAAAUACGUAAAGAUCAUUGACAUCAAAAGGUAUGGGUUUAAGACCCCACUUAAACAUGUCUGGGCCUUAUGAUUCAAGGGUCACUGCGAGAGUCUGCUUAGAGCUUAGAACUCAGUUUGUUGAGUUUAUAGAGGUUUUGAUCAGUGAGGGUGUUGACUAGAAAUUUAGAAAAACUUGUUUUAGUCACUUUUUGAACUUAAAAAAAGAUGUAGAGCUACAACUCCUUCCAUUGAAGUUGAUGCAUAGCAUUUUUCUUCGCUGAAUCUUCUCUGAAACGAAAAAGAAGAUCUAGGAUGAUUAAAGGUUUGCCUAUUUGUUUUGGCAUUAACGAAUUCAUUGUCAUGACUAGACUCCAAUGUCACUCUACCUCCCUUGCACCCCUUAGUCAACAAUUGGCAAAAUUUUUGGAAAAAGAGGGUGCAAAUUUGGUUGAUAAGUGGGGAAGUCUAUUGCACUCAUUGAAAGGAUAAAGAAUCCAAGGAUGAUGAAAAAACAAAAGGUGGCAGUGAGCGUGGUUUGGUUGUUGCAUAGCAUAUUAUGUGCAAAAGAUAAUCAUCAACUGGUUAAAAGUGGUGUCGAAUAAAAAUGUAUUCGCUUCAAUCUUUCUAUUGAAUAUCAUUUAGAAGAACUGAAUUCAUCCAAGAGUAUAAGGGGAUCACCUUGCUAUUGGAUCUUGGAUGGAUUCAAUUCUUUUAAAAGAUAUUCAAUAGUAAGAUUGAAGCUUAUUUGAUUCCAUGAAUAUGAAUCGAAUAUAUUUUUAUUCGAUGCCAUCUUUUACCGGUUGGUUUCUAUCUUUUUUUGUAUCUUUUGCACAAUAUAUUAUGCAAGAACCAAACCGCUCGCUACCAUCGUUUUACUCUUUUUGUCAGCUUUGGAUCAUUUCUCUUCUAAAUGAGCUCAAUAGACUUCUCCACUAUAUCAACCAAAUUCGCAUGUAGAGAAUGACAUAAGAGUCCAAUCAUGAUAACGAAUACAUUGAUCCCAAAACAAAUACACAAGUCACUGAAACCACACCAAAUCUACUAUUUCUUUUCACAAAAGACUCCGCGAAGAAGAAGGCUACACAUCAGCUUCAGUGGGAGUUGUAGCUCCAUAUCUUUGUUCAAGGUUAAAAAGCGACCAAAACAAGUUAUUUUUAAUAUCCUUCUUAAUACCCUCAUUGAUCAAAACAUUUUUUAACUCAACAAAUUGUGUUCCAAAGUUGACACUCACAGUGACCCAUGAAUAAUAAGGCAUAGACAUGUUCAAGUGGGUCUUAAGAUCCAUACUUUUCAUGUCAACAGUGUUGAUGCAUUACUGGAACCGAAAGAGCCUCAGGAUCAAAGUCAUCAAUUGAGUAUCUAGUACCUUUUUUUUAGAAGGAAACGAUUUGUAUUAUAAACCAGUACUUAUGUAGUACUGAAAGCCCCUUUACAAAAAAGUAUGAAAAUCUAGGGACAGAAAAUAGCAAGCCUAGCAUGAUUCUAAUACUUCUAGGAUUGCUUCUGCAUCUACAGGGGAACUCUUUUUACACCAAAAACAUAAUAACAGUAUACAAUCUGUUUUGAUCAUUUGUAGGGAUCUGCUUCUAUCCUCAAAGCUUCUAGCAUUCCUUUCUCUCCAAAUGGUCCACCAGAUGCAUGUUGGAAUGGUCCUCCAAUAAUUUUUGUUCUUUGCCUCAAUUCCUGCUUCCUCCCAACUUGAGAGAGUGUCAACAAUCUUGCUAGGCAUCGUCCAUUGAAUGCCUCUGAGAUUGAUGAAAAUUUUCCACAGUUGAUCAGUGAUUUUGCAAUGUAAGAACAAAUGCCUAAUUGUCUCAGCUGCUUCCCCACAUAAACAACUAUGUGUCACCAGAAUGUUGUUUCGUUUCCUCAGAUUCUCAUGUGUUAGUACUGCCUCCUUUGCUAGCAGCCAAGUGAAGCAUGCCACCUUGAGUGGAAUUUUGGCUUUCCAGAUUUGUCUCCAAGGCCAAUUGAGGGUUAAAGGAGCCCUAUUUAUGACCUUGUAACCUGAACUCACUUUGUAUCUUCCUUUGUUGUGCUCUGUCCACCGUAGGUAGUCCUCCCCUUCCUUCAAACCUUGAAAUGAUUCCAACCUUUUAAAGAACUCAACUAAUCUACAAACUUCCCAGUUAUUUAAAUUCCUUCUGAGAGAUAGAUCCCAACCUUGGGGAGACCACAUUUCAGCCAAUGUUCUGUCUUUAUGUAGUGCUAAGUCAAAGAUGUCAGGGAAGAUCUCUAAUAAGUUUUGAUUACCAAGCCACCUAUCUUUCCACAAUCGUGUCUUGAUACCAUUGUGUACUGUUAUAGUAGUAUGAUUCCUAAGGAAAGGCCACCAAUUCCUAAUUGAUCUCCAAACAGUAACACCAUAGGGAUUGGUUGCUUCCUUGGUGACCCACGAAUCCAUCUCUCCGUACUUCAGUUUAAUCACCUUGCUCCACAUUGAGUGUGGUUCAUGAGCAUAUCUCCACAACCAUUUCAGCUUUAGAGCCUUGCUUUGGUUCUUCAAAUUUUUUAUGCCUAAUCCUCCUUGUUUUUUUCCCGUGAUCAUAACUAGUAUCUAGUACCUUUAAAAUUAUCAUAGCCACCAACAUCAUUAUUUGACCUAGCAACAGCUUCUAAUCGGGCAUCCUUUUUAAUCAUGUUAUUUUUAUCUAUUUUCUGUUCUUUCUAUAUAGCUGCUGCUGAAUCCUCAACCAGAUUUUUUGCUGAUGUGCUCUCAUUUCUUUCUUCUUCUCCUUUAGAUGAAUGCUUACUUGUACUAUGAUCAAGUUUUCUUCAAAUCAUCAAUCAUAGUUCUGUCUUUAACUGUUCAGUUGCACUCUCACCAUAUUUUUCUUCUUUGCCUGACUAUUCACCGCUACUCUCAUGUGUUUCUUUUUCACCAACCAAUUGGUCAUUACCUAAAGGCACCACAAUUUCCAAAGGUACAAAAUCAACAGCCUUAGUUGUUUGUGCAGUUUUGUUUGCUUCCUUAGUCAACUUUUCCAGUUAUGUGGUGGCUUUUUUACUGUGGUACGUCAACUGUCAUCACCACUAUCCACCAUUUAUAAUCAUCACCAUCAACUAUCAUUACUAUAUAAUAGCCACCAAUCACUAUCGACAACAAUAACCACCAUCAGUCACCACUAUAUAUUUUCUUAACAAGUAUCACGUAACUAUACCCACCAAGGCUUGAACAGAUAAAAAGAAUCACCUAAUAUUUAUAUCUUUGCUAGAAAUUAAACCUGAGACCUCAUGACUCUCAACCACUUCAUUAAUCACUAGACCACACCCUUGGGUGCCCAUCAGUCACUACUAUAUAUAACCAACCAGCAUCAUCAUUCACCACUUGCAUAAGUUAUCACUAUCAUCCACCACAAUUAUCAACUACCCCAAUUAUCAACCAUCAUUAACCACUACUACAAGUUCCCUGCCAUCACUAGGUACUACCUACAACCACCACCAUCAGUCAACACCAUUCUUAAUCGGCACCCACGACCACUAUCGCUAUCUAUCAGCACCACCAACCAUUAUACAAUUUUUUAAAACUAUUUUUGUAGUAUUACAUUUAUUUAGUAUUUUAUAUGAAUAAAAUAUUUAUUACUCCAUCUAUCCUAAUGUAUGUGACACUUUUGGAUUUCAAAACUCCAAUGAGCUUUAUUUGGACCACAAUUUUUUUCAUACACCUCGUAAAUAUUUUGAAUUGUCAAUUAUUGUGACUUGCAGUACUUUCGACGUAGUUCUAAAAAAUGUAAAUUUUAUUUAUAAAAACUUAAAGAUUGCAUGUACGAAUUAACGAUCAAAAUUCAAAACUGGCUCUUGAAGGUCAAACUGUUCCACAUAAAUUGGGACAGAGGGGAUAAUUUUUAAAUAAAAGACAACUUCUAUACAUUCAGAUGUUGAGAAGACAAACUAUUUAAAUUAUUUAGUAUUUAUAUUUUAAUAUUUAGAAAUGUAUUAGGAAGCAUACAUCUAUAUCCUAAUGCACAUCUUAAUAUUUAGAUUCAUAUGUUUUAAUCUUAAUAAAAAAAAAAUAUGAGUUCCAUUUUGUCAUAAAUCUUAAUCAGACUUAUUAAAUGGCCUUGCACCUUUUCAUUUGAAUGGGAAAGAAAACCCUAAAACAAGAAUAAGAAGUGAAUAGUCAAAAUUUUCCUUCAAAGUUCUAAAAUUCUUUUGAAAUAUGGUUACCAAUGAAGUCUAAAGGUGUAGACUUACAUCCUACUGCCCUAGUACUUCCUAGUUUAAUCAAACUUCAGAAGAAUACAAGAAACUUCAAACAUCUUGUACUUUUUAUCACUUGUCAGUCAAACACACCCAUACGUAAGAUUGUAAAGCCUGUCCAUAUUUUGGAGUUUGGACCAGACAAGUUUUGUUGAUAAACUAGCUAUUUAUGCCCCACAUUCUUUUCUAAUUAUGAAGGUUUCGAACCUAAUAGUUGAUAACUAGCAGUGCAAUGCCUCUGAAUAUGAUGCAAUUCUACUAUUAACUGUGAUGCCUAUGGGAAUCAUUAUUUUUUUUUUAGAUUGGUAACUGUUUCUAUUUCUUUAAAUCAGUACUUGGGUUGUACUGAAAACCAUAUUUACAUAAUGAACUCUAAAGGCACUGUCCUAUCCCUAUAAUGAGUCUAAAACAUCGAUGAUAGAGACAAUAUCAUUAGAGUAGAUCUGAUAAACCCAACACAAAGUUAGAAAACAAUUCAAUUUUACGUGCUGCAUAUUACUCUCCCUAUUCUCAAAAACUCUAAGAUUUCUCUCUUUCCAGAUAGUCCACCAAAUAGUAGCAAGAAUGAUUCUCCAGUUUUCUGUUCUUUGCUUGUAAUCCUGCUUCUUCCCAACUGUAUAAGGGCUCUGCAAUUCUCCAGGCAUGACCCAUGAGAUGUUUUUGACCCUUAGGAAUAGACUCCACAAUUGGCCAGUGACCUUACACUGGAUGAACAAAUGAUUGACUGUUUCUGCAGUUUCCCCACAAAAAAAAAACUUAUCAAGCACAGUGUAACCCCCCUCUUCAUCAAAUUAUUAUGUGUCAACACAACUUCCUUAGCCAGUAACCACACAUAACAGGCCACUUUGUCUGGGAUCUUUGAUGAGUCGGGAAAUUUGACUCAUUUAGGGCUUGUUAUUUCAUGAAUUAGUAUUCUCAAUGCCUAUUUUGUGUUUGAUGUUAACUUGUUUAUGUGCAGCCAUGAAGGCUUAAGAACAAGGAAAGAACAUUACAUUGCGAAAAGAAGCAAAGAAAAAAAAAGUUGGAAAAGUUAAGGAAAAGUAAGGUUGGAGCUCGCAAAAGUCACUCGGCGAACUCAAGUGCAAAACGGUGCAUCGCCGAAUGAAACGGUGAGCUCGACUUAGAUCGCCUAAAUGGUCAGAACAACUAGAGAAGGAAGUCAAGUCCAAUCAGCGAGAAAGGAUCCAAACGGCAAGUCGUCGAAGUCAUUCGAGGAUGUCCAUUGAGUUCGCCAACUGAGAAGUCAAGAAUUCAAAAGCUGAACUUGAAAUUUGGCGAUAAGGCCUGCCCAUCGACGGAUCGCCGAGUCAUUCGGCAAACCUGACUAAUAUCGCCGAUUUGGUCUCGAGCUGAAUCUUGGGAAGUUUUUGGAAACAUAUAAAUUGGUUUUUGAAGAGAGAGAAGACACUUUUACAUUACUGAAUAUUUUGCUGAAAGAAACUUCUAUUCUCUGAGAGAUUUCAAGCUAAGAUAUUUUUGGUUUGAGGGUUUGUCAUAAUUUUUGGCAUUGAUUAUUGAAGAUUUUGGCAUUCUGAUGGAGAAUCUAUUUGGUAACUUUUACUUACUUUUUAUUAUGCUUGGCUAAACCCCCUUACCUUAGGGGUGUGAUUAUGUAAUAGAAUACACAAAUUAGUUUGUGGGUAUUGUUAAUUGCUUGAUUUAAUGUUGUUUAGAAAUGAGUUCAAUUAUUUACUCAUGUUUUCAUUUAUGGAUUGAAGUUGCAAAUUCAGUUCUAGCUUUUGCUCUCUAUGCUUGCUUGUGAAAGAUGAUUAGGAUGGAGUAUAUAAUUGAUAGUUGUAUUGACUCUUGUCUUUACACCCAGCUUGAUAAAGUGGGUUAAAUUAAGGAUUUGGUUGCUUUGCAUCGUUAAGCUUGUUGAGGUUCAAAAGAACUUACUUGAAACAUAAUAGCUGAUUGAAAAAAUGGUUGUUAUAGUUACAAUCCAUCCUACCCAUUGAGAUUCAACGACCUAAAACAAUUAGUUAUUUACCCAUUAAGCGAAAUUAGUAUUUGAUUGCACACACUCCAAAGGUCCCUUCUCUACUUGUUCAAACCCCGCGUUAAUUGUCUUCUUUAACAAUAGGUUAUCCAACACUCUUAAUAUUGAUAAUCGAAAUUUAUUGAUUUACAUUAUGUUACGUGUAGUUUAUUCCAUUCUACAAGAAGUUAGAACACUUUCAUACUUCAUAUUUGAAUUCUUUUCAAUACCAUUUCUCGUGGGAUCGACCCCAACUCACCGUUGGGUUUAUACUUGUUAGCGACCGCCUACGCUUUGAAUCAUAAGAGGUGUAGUUGAGCGUUAUCAUCUUGGCCUUCCAAAUGUGUUUCCAGGGUCAUUUAGGUGCCUGCAUAAUUGGGUAGUUCAACUUCCUAUAUGUCGCACUUACUUUAAAGUCCAUGUUCCGUUCCCCAACCACUGCAAUUUGUCCUUCCCUGUCUCCAAGCCACCAAAUUAUUCAAUGACGCUGAAGAAUUCUGUAACUCUUAGAAUUUCCCAAUCAUUGAGAUGCCUUCUAAAUAUAAUAUUCCACCCAUGAGGUGUCCAUAGUUCAGCAAUUGUACUUUGUUGCUGAAGAACCAGAGUGUGUAUGUCCGGGAAAAGUAUCUCCAGAUUUCCUACUUCAUGCCAAUCCUCCUUCUAGAAUCUAAUUUUAGCGCCAUCUACCACUUUAAUCUUGGUGUUUAGUUUGAAUUCAUCCCAUAGUGAUCGGAUGGAUUUCUGUAAACUAACACCAUAGGAAGUGGUAACUUCCUUUAUCAUCCAAUUGUUACUUUCUUCAUAUUUUGCUUUCGUGACUGGGCCCCUUAAAUUUUGGUCAUCGUUGGAAUACGUCCAAAUCCACUUCAUUCUCAAAGCAUUGCUUUGAUUCUUCAGGUUUUUGAUCCCUAAAACCCCCAACUCUCUUAUCAUUGAUCACUUUUUUCCAUUUGACUAAGUGGUACCCCUUCCUUUCUAUCACGACUCGAGCCUACACCCUGGACGUGGCCGGCACUCGAGAACUAUUGUUGGUCCCCAAGCAAACCCUCAUCAUGGCUGACUACAAGAGGAAGACUAACUCAAGCAUACAAAAGCUUAAAACUGAAUUAUAUUCAAUAAACUCAACUUUAAAAUAGUCUGAACAAUACUCAAUAGAUAACUCAGAGUUUGUAAAAACAACUCAAAGAAGAUACAUACUGAAAACUACUCAACUUUGUCUAUCUAUGAAGCAUCUACUAUUACAGAAGGAUAUUGGGACAAGACCCAUGACAUCUCAAAACUACUAACCGUAAGAUAAAGGUGAAGUCCUCCGGAAUAUAAUAAGAAGGCUCACCAAAGCUGACAGGAACGUCCCAUGACCUCAACGAAACGCCUGCUGAUGAUCCUAAAUACUUGUAUCUGCAUCAUGAAACGAUGUAGGCCAAAUGGCUCAGUACAUGGAAUGUACGAACAUGUAAGGGGAAUUCUAAAGCAUAAACAUAAGCUUGAACUGGUGGAAAAGACACAUACUUACCUCUUCUCAUCUCACUCAACUCGACUCAACUCAAAGAAACAUAGUUCAACUCAACUCAAGGAAACAUAGUUCAACUCAAACUCAAGGAAACAUAGUUCAAACUCAACUCAAGGAAACAUAGUUCAACUCAACUCAAGGAACAUAGUUCAACUCAACUCAAGGAACAUAGUUCAACUCAACUCAAGGAAACAUAGUUCAACUCAAACUCAGAGAAAAUAGUGCUCAACUCAAUGAUAAGAUAUUCAACUCAGUGAAAUAAGGCUCAACUCAAUAAUAAGAUACUCGACUCUAGGUACUCAACUCAAUAUAAAGCAACAAUAACAGAUGAAAUAUAUGGAAAGCUUUUAAAACAGUAGAAAGCAACUCAAUGUAUUGAAAAAUACAAUAGUAACUCAGUUUGUAUGCAAGGAUACAAGAUAAAUUUUGUUUGUAUAUGAAAAUACAAAGUGAACUCUGUGUAUAUAAGAAUACAAAAUAUCGCUGUGGGAGUUUCUCUAACCGACAACCAUUACUAUGAGCUAUGUGAUGAUACAACGUCUCGCCCACGCUGCCAGAACUGUCCUAUACCUUGCCGAGGUAUAGAACUCUUCAACUAAGUGGAUCCACUAGUCUAUGCUAUAAAGCAUUAAGGAAUCAUCUAAAAAGUAUGACCAUUUCUACCCAUGUUGGCUACAUGGUUUAUGGGGGCAGUGAGUUGUCUGAACUCUCACCCAUAUCGGUGCUCAAUACUACUCCCAAAAUAUAACUAGUUCAUAUGUUUAAAAACAUAACUCUUUCUGUGGUUUGAGAUGAUUACUCAAAAUCUUUCUCUAAAAAGAUAUGGUACUCGACUAUUCAAAACUCUUUUGGAAAUCUCAGUUUCCUCCUCUUUUAAAUGUGAAAACAUUUACUCUUGGGAAUACUUAGUUCCCAUAUAUCAUUUUAAAGAAAAUGAACUCAACUCCACUCUUUCUCAACUCAAGUGCUCAAGUCUUAAAUCAAGUUUAGAAAAAUUUGUAAAAGACUUCUCAAAAUAAGGUUCAUGCCGAAUUAUGGACGUGAACGACUCAAUUCAAGGUUUUCAAUAACCAUACAUAGAACUCAAUACUCAGAACUCAACAACUCAGAACUCAAGAACUUCAAUGAUAAUACUCAUUUCAAGAAUGCUCAACUCAGAGGAUUCAUGCGGAAUUAUGGGCAUGAACAACUCAACUCAAGGACUUCAUGAUACUACUCAUCUAAAAAAUGUUCAACUCAUAGGGUUCACGCGGAAUUAUGGGCAUGAACAACCCAACUCAAGGACUUCAUGGGUAACAUGUAAUAGUUCCAUGAUUAGGAAUAUAAUCUCAAAAGGGUUAGGAACUCAAUACUUAAGAAUUAGAACUUGAAGAUACUACUCCUAUCAAAGAGACUCAAUUUAUGGAGUCCAUGCAGAAUUUAUGGGCAUGAACGACUCGACUCAAGGGUCUACAUAACAAUAGAACUCGUGUAUACGACUCUUCUCAUCCUCAUACAUACUUCCUCAAAACUUAGUUCAAAUCGAUAAUUGAUCUCAAAUGAUUCACAAUUGAACUCAAAGACUUUCUUGAACUCUACUCUUAACUCUUUCUUGAAUUUGAAUUAUGAAUUCAAGAGUUAUGAUUCAUGAUAUGAAGGAUCUCAUGAUGAUAAUGUAGACUAAUGAAUACAUUCUCCUCAUUCUCAUACUCACUUGCUCGAGUCUUGAAACAAGUUAUUUGAAAUUGUAGAAGACUCCUCAAAAAGGACUCAAAGGGACUUUCUCAAAAUGAUCUAAAGAACUCUCAAGACUUAACUUUUAACUCUACCUUGAAUAUGAAUUAUGAAUUCAAGGUUAUGAUUCAUGUUAUGAAUGAUUUCUAGGUGUUUAGAAGUAGCUUAGAGUGUUUAGAAUCAAUAGGGCUUGAAGGUACCCUUUUAAAGGACUCAGACCGGCAAAACGACGGAGAAGGGGUAGGGGCAGGCGACCCUGGCGCACUGAGUGGCACAGGGCGCCAACCCUCUACCAACAAAGGUGUGGUUGGGGCGCACUGGCUGGUGCAGGUCGCCAGGCCCCAACCCAGAAAACCCCGACGACUUUUCUUUCUCGUUUUCUGACCUUAACUCGCCUAGAAUCGAACGGUUUCUUCCCCAAUCACCUAGAUUCGAAUACCCAACCAAAGUACACAAGAAUCUACUAAAAAAAACUCUUAAAAUCCAUACGAUUAUCUCAAGAACUCAUCGAAAUCCCAACAAUCAAGAUUACAAAAGGAAUUUCAAGAAAACACUUCAAGAACUCAAAUCCUUCAACUUUAAAACGAAUUUGCACUAAAAAUAACAUGAUUAGCGUGUGGGAGAACGAACUCAACACAAUGAGAACUCACAUACCCCUUAGGGGUUAAACCCAUGGCGAAAAUCCGCAACAAAACUCAAGAAUCUCAACGAACGCUUUGAUCCCUUUCUCUUUUCUCCUCUUUUCUCUUUUAUUUUUCUCUUCUUGAACUCUCAACUAAAACCCUAAGCGUAGAUUAGGAUUAUAAAACUGAACCUAAUCAGUUUAGACCCCUAAAACCUUACUAAAAAUGAAUUAAAUCUGAUUAGGUAAGGAAACACCAAAAUACCCCUCAUAUUUUCGGGUAACUUUCCUUAACUGGACAGCCUGACUUAAAAAGGCAUAUCUCACUCAUCCGAACUCGAAACUUAGCAAACUCAGUGGCGUUGGAAAGAUAAUCCAAAGACCUUUUAUUUGAUAUCUUAUAGGCCACCUAACUAAAUCAUGUACUGAAAGUUAUGGUCGUUUGAAUUUGACCCAAAACUUAGAAGAACUUAGGAAGGACUUGAAUAAAUUUCUCUUUAGUUCUUUUGGAUAUCAAGUGCUACAUCUAGUGACCUUAACACUUAGGAAAAAUUUAAAUUCCUUGGUAAAAUCUUACUCACAACGAAGGAUGGUUCGAGUCUAAACUCAAUUUUUUUUCCGGGGUGUUACACUUUCCUUAUUUCCUUGCAAUAAAAACUUUCUCCUAAUGCUAUCCAACCUAUUAAUGACACCCGGAGGAAUAGGAAAUAAAGACAUCAUAUAUGUUGGAAGUGCAUCAAACACAGAGUUGAUCAAAGUCAGACUUCCACCUUGUUAGUUUCAUCUCAGACUUCUCAAUCACUCAAUUCCAGAUUUCCAAAGACUUGGAUUUGGCCCCUAAAGGCAUACCCAAAUAAGUAGUUGGAAGAGCACCCACUUCACCACCAAGAAUUAAUUUCAAAUUUCCCAUAUUUGGCACUUCAUUAAUUGGAUACAAGAAGCUUUUUCUCCAGUUAACAUGAAGUUCAGACAUUCCUUCAAACAAGACUAGAAAUAGUCUCAAAAUUUUGAGGUGGUUCUCUUCAGCAUCACAGAACAUCAGGGUAUCAUCAGCAUAUUGUAGAUGAGUUAUCCUUAGGCUUUACCUUACGACUCUAGCUACUUCAAAACCUCUUAGCCAUCCAUCUUUGUUUGCAUUCAUAAUCAUUUUGUUGAGUCCCUCCAUGACUAAUAGGAAAAGGAAAGGUCAUAAGGGAUCACCUUGCCUUAAGCCCCUUUGUUAACUAAAAAACCCUGUUGGACAACCAUUUAUCGACAUUGAGAAGAUUACUGAAGAUAUGCAAAAUUUAAUCCAUUGUCUCCAUUUGAGACCAAAAACCCAUCUUCUCUAGGAUACACAUAAGAAAAUCCCAGUUGACCUGGUCAUAUGCUUUCUCAAUAUCUAAUUUGCAUAAAAUGCCUGAUUUUUUCAAACUUGACCGGGAAUCUAUAGCUUCAUUAGCUAUUAGAAUAGCAUCCAUGAUCUAGCUCCACUUAAUAAAAGCUAAUUGUUGUGUAUUAAUAAGUUUGGACAUCACUCGUUUUAGCCUUUCAGUGAGUACUUUCGAGAGAAUUUUAUAGAUACAUCCUAUCAAACUGAUAGGUCUAAAUCCGUUAGUUCUUUAGCAUCCUUUUUCUUUGGAAUCGGGGAUAUGAAUGUAGCAUUAAAACUUCUUUCAAACCUCCCUUGGUCAUAGAAAUGCUGAAAAGUUUUCAUGAUAUCACCCUUGACUACUUACCAACAUUUGAUGUAGAACCCCAUUGUAAAGCCAUCGGGUCCUAGUGAUUUAUCCAUUGCACAUUGCUUUAAACUUCUCAGAACCUCCUCCUUAUCAAAAUUUCUUUCUAGGUCCUCCAUUUCCUACCCUGUUAACCUUGGACAAUUUAUGAAAUUGUUGCCAGGUCUCCGUCGAACAUCUUCUGAGUAAAAUUUCUGGUAGAACUCCACUAUUUACCCUUGGAUCCUUUCUGGAUCUUGGACUAUAUUCCCCUGAAUGAGCAGUUGAUCUAUGGUGUUAUACCUCUGGUGUACAUUAGCCAUUUUGUGGAAGAACUUGGUAUUAUUAUCCUCUUCCUUUAGCCAAUCAGAUCUUGACCUUUGUCUCUGGUAUAUCUCUUCAUUAUUUAUUAAACCCUCCAGGUUCAGAAGUAAAGUUGCCUUUUCCAUUGCUUCAUCUUCUGUUAAUGCUCUAUCAGUGGAAAUAUUUUCCAUAACAUCCAGCUUUUCAAGCAUAUUCUUUGUCUGUUGGCCAAGACUUCCUUGUUCACUUCUAUUCCAUUCCUUCAAUCUAUGUUUCAAAGCUUUUAAUUUAGAUGUCGAUAUGUAGUCAGGUCUCCCAAUGUAAUCGAAUGAGUCCCACCACUUCCUAAUUCUAUCUGUGAACCAUCAAUUCUUAACCACCAACUCUCAAAUUUGAAGUAACUUUUGUUCUUCUUCCAGGAACCAAUUUGAAGUGUGACCGGGGAGUGAUCCGACACUAUUCUCUGCGUAGUAUACUAUUUCAGAUUACUAAAAGCAUAUCCCAUUCUUGACAUACCAGGAUCCUGUCAAUUCUCGAAGCUAUUUGAUGGUUAUCCCCUUUUAACCAAGUGAACUUAGCAUUUGCCAAUUGGAGAUCAAUUAGAUUCAAAUCCUUAAUCAAAUCAGAAAACUCUCUCAUUCCUAUUGUUCUCCUAGUACAAUUUUUCUUUUCUGAAGCAUAUCUGGCCACAUUGAAAUCCCCACAUAUUGCCCAUGGACCUUUUAUUAAUCCUCCAAUAGACCCAAUUUUUCCCAUACUAGUCUUCUUUCCACAUAGCAAUUGGGUGCAUAAACUCCUGCAAUGUGGCAGGAAAAGUCCUACAAUUGUCAUUCAAAUUUACAGGUGAGAGUAUAUGUCCCUCUCUCUAGUAGCUCCCCCUUCCAUAUUCUACUAUCCCACAACAUCAUUAUCCCUCCUCUUGUCCCACUCGCCUCCAAAUAUGUCAUGUUGACCCACUUCCCCCCCCCCUCAAAUCUGCCUUACCAACUCAGUGAUAUCCCCCUAUAAUUUGAUUUCUUGUAGACAAAUGAUGUCAGCUUUCUAGUCCCCCAUAAUGUUCUUGAUAACCCUCCUCUUAUCUCUAUUAUUCAAACCCCUUACAUUCCAUGAUACUAGUUUGAAUUGCAUCAUGAAAUGGAAAGUAAAUUUCUCCCCUUUUCUCUAUCCCCACCACUCUUGAAUUUCACAUCAAAUUCUACUAAACUUUUCAAAAUCAUAUUUGGAAUUCAAGCAAUUAAAUAAAACCUCAGUGACAUAUGUGUCCCAAGCAUUGAAACAUGAGGGUGGAAGAUUAGCACAGAAAUGUAGACCACUUAAUUAUGAAAUAUGGGUCAGGGGUUUGACUCACAAAAUUAAGCCUCCAUUCUUAUAAAGGGUAAUAUGAUGUACAACCUCACCACCCACCCCCACCCCCAAACCAAAACCACUACUAGCAAGGGCAUUUACACUAGACUAUCAAUAUAUAUGAACAUUCAUGGCUUUAGGUGAUAAGAAAAAAUAAGUUGAUAACCGUACUUCUAUUGACAAGCAAUGGCCAGUCUGCAGAAUUACUUCAGGAGCAAUCCAGUAUGGCGUACCCUUCAUUAAAAACACACUUAAGAGCACGUGGGUCUAAUUUGCCUCUAUUUUGAGAAUGAAUAUGAACAUAGGCAACACUCCCGAAGAUUCUAGGAACCAAUUUAUUGGAAAUUUCAAAAUUCGGAAAGAAAUUCCUAAGAGUAUCAAGCGGACUUUUAAAGUUCAGAAUUCUUGAUGGCAUUUUGUUCUAAAAUGUGCAGCAGUUAGGACAGCUUCCCCCCAAUACCGUUUUGGUACCUUUUUGUGAAACAAUAGUGAUCUACUAAUGUCAUAACAAACCAUUUCUUCUCUCUGCUAUCCCAUUUUGUUGAGGAGUAUUGACACAUGAAGAUUCAUGAAUAAUUCCCUCUUUUUGGAAGAAAAUAGAGAGGGUUUGAUUGCAAUAGACUUUGGCAUUAUCAGAUCGAAAUCUUUUAAUAGGCACAACAUAUUGGGUUUUGAUCAAAUUAAAAAAAGGUAGGAAGAAUUUGACUAACAUCUGAUUUUUGCUUUAGCAAAUAGAUCCACGUUACUCUUGUACAAUCAUCAAUGAAUGACACAAACCAUCUAGCACCAGAAAUAUUAAGAACGGGAGAGGGUCCCCAAAUAUCACUAUGAAUAAGAGAAAAUGGAGUUUGACUUCUUUUGUGACUAAUUGGAUAGGAAACACAUUUGUGUUUUGCAAUUUCACAAUCAUCACAAUGAAAAGACUCAACAAUCAAAUAUUUGAACAAAGCUGGAGACAUCAUUUUGAUUACAUAAAAGGAAGGAUAACCUAACCGACGCUGAUAAAGCCAUACGUUUUCUUUAUUGGACAUAACAAAUUCAGACAAGAAUGAACUAGAUAAGGAAUUCUUAGUUGUAUCUUCACCAUUGUGGACAUCCAGACAAUAAAAACCACAUUUCUCACUAGCGCCCAAUCAUCUCCUUCGUGUUCUGUUCCUGAAAUAAGCAAUAUGAAGGGAAGAAAGUUACUUGGCAUUUGGAAUCUUUGGUGAGUUUCUGGAUAGAAAUGAGAUUUGCAGAUAACUUUGGGACAUGAAGGACAUCUAAGUAUCAAGGAUUUUCCUAGUGGUAUGUCGCCUUGUCCAGCUACAGUAAUAACUGAACCAUUAGCUAUAGUUAUUUUUUUAUAGCUAGGACAAGGGGAAUAUGAUAUGAAAAGAUGAGAGGAACUGGUCAUGUGAUCAGUUCCCCCGAAAUCAACCACCCAUAUUGGAGAAAGUUUGUCUGAGACAUUAGUAACAAAAGAGCAAGAAAUUCCUAUGAAGGCCAAUGAACAACUACUUGCUGUAGUUGAGUGUGGACUUGUUUCAUCAGCCUGAGGGCAGCUAGCUAUAUGUGCCUGCUACCAUCACUAAUGUUUAUGUUUGGAGGUCUACCAUUGAGUCUCCAGCAUCUCUCUCGGGUGUGCCGAUAUUUUUUGCAAUAGGUGCAAUAAAGAUUGUCCCUAUUGAAUGGCGGUUUGAAUGAACCCGCGGGCUUGAUGGUGCUCUCCCAUUGUGAAACUCCAGAUUCUUUUGAACUUGUCCCUUUUUGCUACAAGAGUUGAUCCUUCAUUAAUUUGAGUUUCAAGCAUAACAUUCCUCUAUCCUUCUUCUAUCUGUAUAAUGGCCAUUGUCUCAUUCAAUGAUGGCAGAUCUGUUUUUCCUAAGAUUUGCACUCUCAUGGAAUCAAAUUAUGCAUUUAGCCUUGCAAGAAAAUCAUAAAUCCUUUCUUUUUCAAUAAAUAUCUUCAGAAUUACAGCAUCAUCUUUACAACCCAUUUGAAUGCAUUGAUAAUGAUCCAUUUCUUGCCAUAACCUCCGUAAAAAGUUAGAAUAUUUAGUGACAGGUCGAGCUCCCUGUUUUGCUGCAGAAAGUUUUGUUUUUAUUUCAUAGAUCCUGGAAGCAUCAUGUACUUUAGAGUACUCCCAAAUUUCCUUAGCGGUGCUAAAAAACAUAACGCUAUCGCUGAUUUCUGGAAGCAUAGAGUUCCAUAACCAAGACAUCACCACUGCAUCAUGUUCAUCCCAUGCAUCAAAUGUGGGGUCUUCUUUAGAUGGUCUUGUACCAAGAAGGUGUCGUAUUUUCCUUUUACCCUUUAAAAAGGUACGAACCAAUUGAGCCCAUUUUAGAUAUUUUUUUCCAUUCAACCGAUAAGAGGCGUGAAUGUUUUGCAAAUCACCGGAUGAAACUAUAGAGUUAUUCUCUACAGUUGCAAAAAUAUUUUCAGAGGCUUGAAUAGUUGCAACAAUCACAUUUUCUGGCAUGGUUCUUGAAUUGUUUCAAUCUUUGGGCAUAUAAAGAUAGAAAAAAAGGAUAUUUCAAAACAAGAUGGAUGAAACUAGUAAGGAAUAAGUCUAAAGCUCUGAUACCAUGUGGAAUAAGAUAGUUGAAAUGUUUCAUUCAUAUCUUUCUAUGUCAAAUACAUGGCUUUAUAUACAUGAGAGAUUGUGGAACAGAAUCACUUAGUUCCCAUGAAAUCUGGGAUUCUAUAAAAUCAUAUAUUUUACAAAAAAGGAGAAAAAGAUAUUCUAGAUUACAACAAUUAUCUUUAAGAUCUUAGAGGAUCAAAUCUUGAUAUGGAGAAUAUCCUCUAUCAGCCAACACUAUGUUCUAGUUCUAGUUGCAUCAUGUUAAGGCAUAUGGAAAUAAACAAUUGAUGGUACAGAUGGAAAGCAAAAGACAACAGAAAAGUGUAGAUGUUCACUAAUUUAUUAGCCAAACAACCCACAAGAAUAAGUUUAUUAUCAUAUUCAUAUCUAUCUAUAUCUAUAUUACCUUAAAAGAAUGAGCUCCUAACUUGAAUGUUAAAUUACUAUAAUAUUCCUAACUUAGGUUUUGACUUUUUCGAUGAGUUGUGAAUUUUCCAAUAAGUUGUGACUUUUUUCAAAGGGUUGUGAUUUUUUGAUGAGUUCUGACUUUUCCAAAGAGUUGUGACUUUUUCAAUAAGUUGUGACAUUUCCAAAGAGUUGCGACUUUUUCAAAGAGUUAUGACUUUUCCAAAGAGUUGUGACUUUUUCAAUAAGUUGUGACAUUUCCAAAGAGUUGCGACUUUUUCAAAGAGUUAUGACUUUUCCAAAGAGUUGUGACUUUUUCAAUAAGUUGUGACUUUUCCAAAGUGUUGUGACUUCUCGGGAAGGUCAUGAUCUUUAAGAUAAAACACAAAAAACAUUUGUUCAUACAACCCUUUGUUGACUAUAAAUAGAGGGACUUCCUAUCAUUUUUCAACCACAAUUUUUUCUAAUGUUCUACUCUUCUUCUUCUUGCAUUUUAAAAUUUCUUGUGUAAUUUAUUAUCGUUUGAGUGAGUUCGAAGUUAAGCGGAAUAUGAGUACCACUAUUCUGAUGAAGUAAGUCAUUCUAUCCUAAGAGGGUAUAUUCCAUAACCUUGAGUACUUGAGGAAAAUAAUAUAAUUUUGAUGAUAUAAUAAAAAAAAAUUCUUAAUAUACACAUUAGUAUGUAAUGUUCCAAUAUAUGAAAUUUACAUGAUGUAGUCUAAAGUCAUUUGUUUUUGUUAACAAUUUCUUUUGUCAUGUAGAUAUAUGCUUCUGAAUAUAUUUUUUCAAAAAUUAGAGAAUUGUCACGAUUUGUUUUUGAUGCUCAAGAAAAAAGAAAUGGCUUUAUUUAUCAAUGUUACUUAUGUAAUUUAGACUCCCACAAAGUUUGCUUCAAAAUAGUUAUUACUAUAUAAACAUUGCCCUUUUGUUUUACUUAUUUACUAUUUCUUAAUAUUUAGUAUUUUAGACGAAGAAAAGUUCAUAUGACUUGUAAUAACGCCAAUUGAAGUUUGUAUUAGUUUAAAUUUUAUUAUUUAUUUAAUAGCUAAUUUUAUGAGAUAAAUAUUUUCAUUAAUGCAAAUAUAUAUUUAUAUUUUGGUAGGUAUUUGUAUUUAAAUUAAAGUAUUAUAUAUGUCACCGUAUUAUCAAGUUAACGAGAUCUUCUAACUCGAAAAUAUAUUAUUUAACAAUUUAACAUAGAAUACACAUGCAAAGCACAUCUGGUUAGAUGACAAGAAAAAUACAAAACAAAUAUUGUCUAUAAGGUAAUAUUAGUGAGAUAAGAUUAAUUACAUGAUUGAACCUAAUCAAAUUGAAAUAAAUAUGUAAAUAAUCACAUUUAACUAAUAAUUUUUUUCAUUGACCAUCUUCAUAGGUUUGCGUGAAUAAGAGAAGCAUGAACUCCUAACUUGAAUGUUAAAUUACUAUAAUAUCCCUAACUUAGGUUGUGACUUUUUUGAUGAGUUGUGACUUUUCCGAUAAGUUGUGAAUUUUUUCAAAGGGUUGUGAUUUUUCGAUGAGUUGUGACUUUCCAAAUAGUUGUGACUUUUUCAAUAAGUUGUGACUUUUCCAAAGGAUUGUGACUUUUCCAAAGGGUGACUUUUCCAAAGAAUUGUGACUUUUUCAAUAAUUUGUGACUUUUCCAAAGUGUUAUGACUUCUCAGAAAUGUCAUGAUCUUUCAGAUAAGACACAAAAAACAUGUGUUCAUACUACCCUUUGUUGACUAUAAAUUGAGGGACUUCCUCUCAUUUUUCAACCAUAAUUUUUUCAAAUCUUCUACUCUUCUUCUUCUUGCAUUUUAAAAUUUCUUGUGUAAUUUAUUGUCGUUUGAGUGAGUUUGAAGUUUAGCGGAAUAUAAGGUACCAUUAUUCUGAUGAAGUAAGUCGUUCUAGCCUAAGAGGGCAUAUUCCAUAACCUCGAGUACUUGAGGAAAAUAAUAUAAUUUUGAUGAUAUAAUAAUUAUUUUUUUCUUAAUAUACACAUUAGUAUGUAAUGUUCCAUUAUAUAAAGUUUACAUGAUGUAGUCUAGAGUCAUUUGUUUUUGUUAACAAUUUCCCUUGUGAUGUUGAUAUAUGCUUCUGAAUAUCUUUUUCCAAAAUUUAGAGAAUUAUCACGAUUUGUUUUUGAUGCUCAAGACAAAAGAAUGACUUUAUUUAUCAAUGUUACUUAUGUGAUUUAGACUCCCAGGAAGUUUCCUUCAAAAAUAGUUAUUACUAUAUAAACAUUGCCCUUUUGUUUUACUUAUUUACUAUUUCUUAAUAUUUCAGUAUUUUAGACUAAAGAAAAGUUCAUAUGACUUGUAAUAACGUCAAUUGAAGUUUGUAUUAGUUUAAUUUUUAUUAUUUAUUUAAUAGCUAAUUUUAUGAGAUAAAUAUUUUAUUAAUUCAAAUAUAUAUUUAAACUUGGGUAUGUAUUUUUAUUUAAAUUAAAGUAUUAUAUAUGUCACAAUAAAAAAAUAAAAAAAUAAUCACUACAAAUGUGAAAAUAUGUGAAUAUAUAAAAUGUAGUUGUUCUCUUCACAUGUUCAUAUGACAUCUAAACAAUUUAACGUAGAAUACACAUGCAAAGCACAUCUGGUUAGAUGGCAAGAAAAUACAAAACAAAUAUUGACUAUAAGGUAAUAUUAGUGAGAUAAGACUAAUUACAUGAUUGAACCUAAUAAAAUUGAAAUAAAUAUAUACAUAAUUGCAUUUAACUAAUAAAUUUUUCAUUGACUAUCUUCAUAGGUUUGCGUGAAAUAAGAGAUAUAUAUGAGGAUCCACAUUGAACAUUCACAAAAGAAUCUGCAAUAUUAUUUUUUGCUAAGCUUAUUAUUCAAAUAUUUGCUUAAAUAAGCAAUUAUAUUUACCAUAACGUAUAAUUUUGAAAUUGGUAAUCACGUGCAACGCAAGGAAGUAUUAGGUUAGCGACGCUUUCAAUCUUCAUUAGCGCAAUCAAGUUGGAACAAAACUAACAUAUUACAUGAAACUAAUCAAAAUGUCUUUGGUCAUAUUUAUAGGUCCGAUUGAAAAAGAGACGAGCUAACCAUCAGAAUGCAACUUUUGAAGGAAAUACAGCUAUUGUGUGAAAACUUUGAUAUUGAUAAUUAGGAUACGAAUGACUUCAAACUCCUUGACGGUAUCCGCUAUUUUGGAACAAUGUCAUAAACAGAACCAAAUGUAGCUUCGAGCAAUAUUACAUAUCCGCUUAUUAUUUUGAGCUUUCGCACCAUUAAAUGCAUCUAAUUCAAUACAAUUAUCGGACUAAAUGAAGUAUUAUUUAUAAACAAAUAUUUGGUAACUAAGAAACAUCCAUACAAACAAAUCCCUUAAGACAUAUGCCAUGUAUUGAACAAAGAGAGUGUUCAUGCUUUACUGCUUCACAAUUGUAGACAUGAACUAAUAUUUAGUAACUAAGAAACAUCCAUACCGAUAAAUUCCUUAAAGACAUAUUCCAUAUAUUGAACAAAGCGAGUAUUUAUGCUUUACUGCUUCACAAUUGAACGCAUCACGAGACUAGGUAACAUUUUUAAGGUAAAAAGUAAUAAUUAGAUUUUCCCACUUUUAGUUAUCUUUUUUCACUAUUUCUUUUUCAUUUUAUUUAAUAAGAAGUCCAAAAGUCUAUGUAAUGUGGGUAAUAUCUUAUAAACAGAAGUUCAAAGAUCACCAUUGAUCUUACAAUCGUUUCUAAGCCAAAAUGGUGAGUCUUAUUUUUGAGUUUGAACUUCUUUUUCAUUUCCUCUAUUAAUGUUUUGUUCAAUUCUUUGAGCUUUGUUCUUAAAAAUUUUCUAUAAAGAACUUGUCUUCUUUUUUUAAAAAACUUUUCAUAAGAGUUUUAGGUAUUUACAAAUGUAUAUUCGGUUUUGAUAUGAAAUUGUUGGAAAUAUGGGUACAACAAACAGAGUUUAGAGGCUAUUUGAAGGGAUUGCUUUUCUGAUCGUAUGAAGGGAUUGUUGUACACAAGUGCAAAUAACAUUAGAUUUGUUGUGCACAUGAAAUACUUUUUUUAUAUCAAAUUGAAGAUUACAUGAGGUAAAAAAAUUUCGUAGUUUGUAUUGAAAUAUUUAUGAAUAUUUUAAUAUUUCUCCAAAUAAUUUUUUUUUUGUGUGUAAAACAAUGAUGAACAUAUCUUUUGAUAUCUAUAUUUCUUGUUUAACAAUGAUGAUUUAAUUUGACGUUGAGCAGGGUUGUUGUAUACGGAUACUGUGAAGUUCAUGAUUAUUAUGAUCACAUUCUUUCUUCUAUUUUGAAUCUCCAGGUAAUUGUUAAUUUAAUUUUAAGAUUGCCUUUCUCUCUCUGUUUUUUCAUUUUUAUUUUUUUUGUUGGAAACUUUUGAGUUCUUAUACCACAAAACUUUUUUUUUUUUAUAUUUGCCUUUUUUCAUUUAUCAGUUACGUUUCUUUUAAAUUUCUCAACUCUUUAAAUAUAGGUAGUGUGAAUACUCUUUGCAAUAAUAAAUAAAUGUUAUUUACAAAAUAAUAACAUGCACUCUUUAUUUAUUGAUAUAUAAUUCAUUCCCUUUUGGAUCAAGUUACCAUGAAUUUUUAAUUUUAAUUUUAGGAUUAGAUUUUUUCCAAUUCAAGAAUCUCUUAAUAUACUUUCUAAUUAGUAAUUAUAUUUGGAUAAUUAAUACUACAUAAUAGUAAUUAUGCAGGAAUAAAAGGCUGGGGAAUUUACAUAAUCUCAAAAGUAUCCAAUAAUGAAAUAUGUUGUAAUCAUAAUAUGAUGCAGUUAGAGGACAUUUUUACGAUGAUAAAUACUACUACUAGAUAUCCCACAUAAAAAUGGCCUUACAUAUUCUCACGCUGUAUAAGUAAGAUAAGUUACCAUUAUUGUUAUCAGAUUCAAUAUGGUAGUAGUUUUUUCCCAAAUUGACAAUAUUCAUGAGUUAUGCAUAUUUUUUUUCACAUGGGUGGUUUUAAAAGUCUACAAUUCUUACUUAUAAAGUUGAACUGCAUACUAAAAAAUCACCAAAUAAUUGAAAGCUUUUUUAAAUUUUAGUGAAACACUGAUCUUACUACAAUUGUUUAUGCUAAAAUAUCAAUAUUCGUUCUAACAAAGAUUUAAAAGUUGAACUUAAAAGAAAUACAAAUAUGAUAACCAUUCAUAUUAACUUAAUUAAUUAAAGAAAGUUAUAGUAUAUCUUUGCGAUUAAAUCUUACUAUUAUUUAAGAAUUCACAAUGAAUUUGCAUUGAGAAACGUUUACAUUUGUAAAGUUAGCUCUCGAAUGCUAUAUAUACAUAUACAUUAUAAGUAACAUUUGUAAUAUGCGAAAAGAAAUAUAAUUUUUUUUAUUUAAAAUACUACUUUAAAUGUAUUUAUUAGAUCACUUUGUUGGAUUACACUAAAUAUUUAUUCAAACACUUUAACAUAAUAAAAUCAUCCCACUUUAUGGUACUAUAUAGAUAUAUCGUUGUUGUUGUUGUGGUUGUUGUUGUUGUAUAAAUUAAAACAAUUUGAAAUAUCUAUUCAAGGUCCUUCAAACUAAUAAGCUUUAUAAUUUAACAUUGUCGUUCUCUGUUGUCUUACAACUUUGCGACCGAACAUCAUGUUUGUGGAUAUAAAAAGUAUAACAAACUUUUAUUUUGUUUACAACACUACUAUGUUAUCAAUCGAUGUAACUUUUUUUAAAAAUCGUAUACUUAUUGACGUAGGGUUCACGCGCAAAGCGCGUGUCCAGGAGCUAGUUAAAUAAAUAAGAAAAAAGAAACAAAACAAGGUGUUUAACCUCCCCUAUUUCAUUUAGUGAGAAUAGUAGCAAGCACUUAAAGAUUCAGGGAAAGAUCCAAAUUUUCCCAAAAGUGACAAGAUUGAACCCCUGGGAACAAAUUCCAGCAAUAUAUUUAAUGAUCAUGCCUCACUUGCAGUGAAGCAAUACUACAACAACAACAUACCCAGUGUAAUCCCAAAAGUUGAAUCCGAAAAGGGUAGAAUGUACGCAGACCUUAUUCCUACCUAGGAAGUAGAGAGAUUGUUUCCGGUAGACCCUCGACUCAAGGAAAAACAUUUCAAAGCAAAUCGAAAAAGAAAUAACGGGAUCCCUAAGAAGUAAAAAAAAAAAGAACAGUAAAACAACCUUCAACCACACCUUACCUAACUUGAGACAAAAAUAGAACCAUGCUCAUGACUAUAUUGAAAUGCGAGAAAUUCUUAAAAAUUAAAUAUCCAGUUCUUCUUGAAGCUCCCCAAACAUGAGUCAGAUUCUUAAAAUUGUCAAUUUUUCAUGUUGCACCCACUGAAAUUUCUUAAAGCAAGAAGCCAGGAUCCUUGACGUAGAACUCACAAAGUCAUUUAUCAGGGAAAAAGUAACUAAUGUACUUGGCAUUAGGAAAUUUCUUCUUUAAAUUUCAUCUUCAGAAAUCAUUUUUGGAUCAUUUCCCAUACUUUGUUGGGUAAAAUAGUAAGUGACCUAUGAUGAUUGUUCAAGGUGGAAUAUAGAAUAAGAGGAGAGAGAAUAUUUGAUGUUAAAAGUUGUCAACAACAACCAAUUGUUAACUGAAACAAACCACAUUUUGAAAGGCAAAAAAAAUAUUUGUUCAUAUGUGAUGGAAGUCGGUGAAAAAUAUUUCCUUUCUAGAAGACAUUUCAACUAACCAAAUACUAGAAAUUGAUUUCGUCAAUAAAAACAGUCUCUUACAAAUCAUUCUCAACGCAAUCCAAAGUUAACUAGUUUAAUAUUUAUGCAACAAUUUAACUCAAUUUUGGUCGCCAGUAUAAAUUAGUCAUAAACCUAAAGGAAAAAGGAACAACAUUAAGCUAUUAGGUCAAUCAAAAUUUCUUAUUUUCCUUUGAAGCACCCACCAUAAGCGAAUCCAAAUUUCAGCAGCAUAAUGCACAUAUUUCCUUUUCCAUUAGUGAUCAAAGUAACAAAAAGAUGACUAAGAAGAAGCAGUUAAAGGGGAAAUUUAACCUCCUUGAUAGCGACUUGGCGAGUAACUCUCAAGAAUCAACAUUCAUCCCCAUAUAGACCUUCCAAAAGCACCACAUCUUGCAAUGGACGGAAGACCACAUAUUCGAGUCUGUCUCCCUAAUUGAUUUGAGUAAGCUGGAACCAAUCUUCGCCUCCAAAGAUCUGUCAUAUUCCAUUUUUUGAGAGAAUUGGGAGAAGAGGACUAAGAUUUUGAGGAGUGGAAGAGAUAAAAUUGUUCUUCAUCCAGAAUUUUCACUUGGAACCAUUAUUUUGAACCCCUAAAAUACUGUAAUCUUAUGUUUAUGUUUAGGGGUUCAAAAUUAAUAUAUAUAUAUAUAUAUAUAUACAUCAAUGAUGACAGGAACAUGAACUUUCAAGAGUUAGCAUUAGAAUAGAAAUUGUGAUCAAGCGAAACACAUGCACUAUUAUUGGUAGCAAAAGCCACAGGCACGCCUAGCUAAGAGUGCAAUUUACUUCAACUCGGAACAAAAUACUUUUUAUAUAUUUUUCUUUGUCCACGGUAUCAAAAAUAGAUAUUCACUUUUACUUGUUUAGAUAAUAAGAGUUGUUAUUUACCAUUUUGUACUUGUUUUACCUUGUAUGAGAGAUGUUAGAGAGAUGCCUAUUGUUGGAGGCACUGGACUCUUUAGGUUUGCUAGAGACUAUGCAUUGGCUCAUACUUUUUGGUUUGAUGUCAACACUGGAGAUGCUAUUGUGGAAUACAAUGUGUCUGUUCAACAUUAUUGAAGUGAGAAUUUGUGCUUAUAAAGUAGUAAUCACAGGCACAAUGACUUUACUUUUUCUUAAUUAUUCCAUCUUUUUAAUUUCUUUUUUUACUUUUUCUGAAUGUUCUAAAGUGAUGUCUUAUUUAUAUCAAAGAGUUUUGCUACUAAUGUUUUAUCAAUUCACCAAGAAAUCUAUGAACUCCAAGCACAGUAGAUAGAAAAACUUCUCAAUUAGUGGACAAAGUAUCCAGAAACACUUGGUAAUGUAUAUAAUCAAAGAGGAACCAAAACUACAUAUUUCUUUUGGUUCACUUGCACAGAAGUAGAUGAAAAUUGGACAGCCUAGGGGUACAUAAGACAUCAUGAAAAAGUUUGAUUUCUAUAACAACUAUCAUGUCGAAAUGCAUUUGUUCGAUCAAACUAUCAAUUCUUGUUAGAAUCUGUUUAGUAGUUGCUCUCUAUUUUCUUUCUCCAAGGAAUUUGUCAAUAUUACCAUACCAAUUCCACUGGAAACAUAGACCAACAACACGUAAUAUUCCAGCAGCUAUCACUUCGAUAAAUGCCAUCAGGAAUGAUCUCUGAGGAGAUAGACCAGAAGUUGCUAUGGAAAGAAAGAAUCCCUCAAAGUUGCAAGGGACAAUGAAGUUUCCUGAUUUAAGGCCAUUCAAAGCUUUCUUUGCAACUUCAUCAGCUUUCAUGGAACCAGAAGAAGCUGCUAGUAUACUAGUCAACUGUGGCCUCCUCUUGUUCUCUGCAAAAGGAUUAAACUUAAAUUAUUGCAAAUGUAAACUGAUUAUCAUUCAGGUAAGUUCAAGCACCUAUCGGGUACAUUCGACAUUGUGCACAUGAAAUAUUGGGGGUACAACACACACAAUCAUGUUGAUGUCUCCCAAGGUUCAAUAUUAGUGCAUACAUAUCUCCAUGUGCAUUCAUCACAGCCUAAAUAUCAUAACAAAGGAACUCUAUAACUCGCAUAAGCAUGUCAACCCCUUGACCACAUUCUUUAAUAUUAAAACGAAGCAGAGACCAUACACAUUAAGCCUCAAACUGUUCUAGACCUGUAUUAUCUAAAUAGAUCUAAAGACACUGAAAUGCAGCAUUUAACAUCCUGUCGGGUUCUACAGAAUCUUCAUGGCAUUUCAAGAUUUUACAUAACCUAUUGAAUUGCUAUAAAGGAUAGCUAAUAUGUGCAGUACAUCAUGAGCUAAUCAAGAACAAAUAUUUUCUGGCUUUGUUCCUCGAAACAUAAAGAACAAAUUGGCUAAACAAUUUGUGCUAUCCCAUGCAGUACUCAAUAAUUGGUAAAAAGAUCAGUUCUAUCAUCAUUUUUAUUGUGAACUAAUCAACUUGCUUGAUCCAGACAAUUUUGUGGUCUCUGAAGGAAGAUAAAGAAAAAGAUAUUAAGGAAAAGGAUAUAAAACGAACAUAUCAACUUAGAAUCAGAGGUAGAUCAUAGCAUUUAGCAUUAGUGGAUUCCAACUGGGUAUGGUGAUAUUACAUAUUUAAUUUUUUUUACAUAGAUUUUAUUUAUGAUAACCUUCUUUUUUUUACAUAGACAAACAUGAUGCAAGUAGAAAGCAGUGUGUUUGUUGCCCCCCCCCCAACAUGUAGCAUAGCAUCUAAUUCGUGCAUUGUGACAUGUAGUGAUAACAACCAGAAGAAACAGAGUAGGAUUUGUUCAGGUCCAACCUUCAGCAAAUCCAGGAGUUUCAGUGUCCGGGGGAAAUAUUAGUGAUACGUGAAUAUUUUCACCAAUUACUUCCUGCUGCAGUGCUUCUGCCAGUCCUCUGAGGCCGAACUUACUAGCUGAAUAAGCUGUAUAACCAUAUAUCCCAACCUAAGACAACAAAAUACCAAAUAAACCAAAUCAGCUAAGAAAAAACAUUAUAAAGUACACUAAUGCAAUUGUAUGGGAAAAGAAGUUCACCUGAUUCUACCAUAUUUUAUCACAGACUGCUUCCAGUCUUUCAGGUUAAACUACUAUUUGAGAAAACAUUUCAGUGGUGGCUAACGAUACACAUUAUCUCUUUAUUAUGUGAGCAUCACAGACCAAGCUCCAAUCCUUCAGGUUUAACUACUAUUUAAGGAAGCAUUUGCCGUGGUGGGUCCUCCAGUUAAUUUUUUUAUGAUGAAUACACGUAAAUGUGAAUGCAUAGAGGGAAACGAAAUUAAAUAAAUUGGACAAUUGUGAUGAUCAACUCUAACUUAUUUUCAUUGUUUCCCCAAAAACUCCUAGAUGAGAUAAAAAAUAAAAUUGCAAUAGAGAUUAGAUAUCAAUCAGAACAGAAGAUGAAAAACGCUGCUGCUGAAAGUGUCUCCAUGCAAAAAGUCCUCAUGAAUUGUGUACUAACGAGAAUACUGCAAAAUCAUAAGAUUGUCCACACUUUCUCAAACUACCAUCCUCAAAGAAUAAUGAGUUCCAAACUUUAAGUGAGUCAGGUACAUAACAAAACUACUUCUUUCUAAUUCUAAAUAAAGAGACGAAACUAGCUAAUGCAUUUCAUUGUCUUUUGCUGUUCAAAAGACACUACUUGAAAUGCAUUUGCUAGUAACUGUAGCAUGAAAAAAUUUAUAGGAAGUGCUUAUCUGCAAAUGUUGAUACCAUAGUAGUUACGAGUUCAGAUACAUUUGUAAUAGUAUUAUAGCUCUCAACUACUCCGGGUGCUUCUAAUUUAGAAUUUUACAGUAUUAGAUGGUAAAUGAACCUACGAUGCUAAAACUGAAAGUAUUAAUAGGAUAUUUAACAAAAGAAAACUCCAAUAUCCUUGGUGGACGUAAGAAAAUGGGUAAAGUAAGUAGAAAAUAGAAAACCAUCCAACAUGUUACAGACUCCAGAUUUAAGAACCAAUAGCACAAAUCAUAUCUUGACUAAAUCUAGUGAAUUUUAGAGAUUGAGAUAGACUUUAUAAUGCUUUGUUAUUCUUUAAUCAUCUCAGACUGUAUGACACUAAUUUUACCUUCAUUUCUCAAUCUAUUUAUACCAGAAAACUGUGGUAAGAUCUUCGAAAAUUAACAACAAAUAUAAACAGUGAUCAUAGUACGACGUCAUUUACAUUGUUAUCAAGUUCAAACCAUAUUUUGGUUCUGAACAAUGCUCUCAUUUCAACGUUUUGUGAUAGUCAUACCAGAGGCCAAUCUUUAUUAUAAUAACAAGACAGGUUAAGCUCACAACAGAAAUAUACUCUGGAGCAGUUUAGCCUUUCAUGUCCUUAUCUCAAAACUAGUUACUCGUUCUCCUGCUUACUAUAGCUGUUACUAAGCAUUUUUCUUUGACUAACAUCUAACCUCAACCUAAAUUCUUACAUGGCAGAUAGCAGAAGUGGUUGAAGAGAUGUAUUCAAGUUAACCAAAAGAGUAUAAUGCAAUCAAGCAUGUUCAUAAAUUACCGCCAAACAUGCUCUUGAUUUAGUGCAAACUACACACAAGAAUACAUUAGCCCCUAAUGUCCUUAAGUCCACCGGUCUACCCACUUGGCGGCAAUGCUAGAUUACUUUACUAUUUGUUUCAUUACAACAGAAAAUGUUUGAAGAAAUCCUCUUUUACUUUUUUUGGUUACCUUACAAAAAUAUAAUUCUCCCAAAUACUUCCACCAAUAUGGGAAACUGACUAAUACGGAACUUAGUAUCUAAGCUAGAAAUUACCUGAAGUGUGUGAAAGCUAAUUUUGGUGGGAAAGUUUGUUAACUUGGCAUUUUCUUAUCCUAGUUUAAUUUCCCAUUUUCUUUUAUUUCAUUUUCAGCACACUUCAUGUGAGCAUAGCUGGUAGUAUAAAAGAUCAAUCAAACACUUGUAUUGCAUCAUGAUAAAUGAUAAUACAAAUUGCUAAUUUCCUUCCUAAACUUCUCCUCAUGUAUGCCCUUUUCUCUCAUUUUUCUCUUCUUUUUUGAUGAAGUAAGAAGUUUCAUUAAAAGCAUCAAGAAGAUGAGUAAAAGGGGAGUACAUUAGAGCUAACAAAGAGACUUGUGUUACAUUCCUUUCUUCUCUCUCCUCUGUUCUUCGAUACCAACAAUUAGGCAUCAAAUGGUAUCAAAACAUUGAUCUCUUGGGGCUGUGUUCAUGGAGAAGAACACAUCAACUGGGAGCUCAAGCUGAGAUCCUAAGAUGAUGGAAAAUCGGGUGGAUUUGGCUGCACGACUUGCUGCUAUGGCUGCUAGUCAGAAGGAAUUAAUGAAUCGAAAAGACCAGAUGGAACAACGACUGUCAAAUUAUUUAAAAUGAUAAGUGAACUGAAGGAGGCUAUUAAUGGCCUUCACCUGCAGAACAAACAAAGAGAAGCUCUUUCUCCCCAAGAGCGACACUGAAGCUAUUCUGCAGACUGAGAAAAAAUCUCAAGCUGGAUCGGUCUCUGCCAGCGAAAUCACUGGACUAAAUAAAAUUAGAGAACUAGUUCAAAAAUGAACGAUUGUGAGAUGUUUGAAGGAAUGACCCAAGGAUUUAUAGCAGAUAUAUCAGACCAGCAACACACUAUGAAUAUCCGUAAGAACAUGGAACUAAAAAAAGUUUGUCGAUGCUCUCCACAUUCGCAAUAACCACAAAGCCAUCCAGUCGCCGAAAACUAGGGACAAUGAAAAAUCUGAUCAGAGAGUUUAAUUUGAGUACUGUUCACUUUAACAUCCCUAUAAGCAUGCAUCAUGUUGAGAGAACUAAAAUUGCUUACCGCAUUUGAUCAAAUGCUUGAAAGCAGUGGCGGAUGUAAGAAUUGUGUGAUAGGUAGGGACAUGAUUACUCAAGGUGUUUUGUUUCAUUUUCCAUUUGACCCUGGUCAAAAUGUGCUUACUAGCACCUCUAGUAAUUCACUGCUUGGUGGUUACUGUGAAAAUAAAUAGAUGCACUAUGCAGUCACAUGUUUGGGACAACACCUGACAAAAUUAUUGUUUCCUAGAAAGUGAUGAUCUCCUGCUAUACCAGAGGUUUAUGGUGUCAUGAAGUUGUGAGUGUAUUUCCUGGUUAUUUAGGAUAUAUCCAGACCAACACAACAGAGAUUCAAAUGAUUUGGCGAAAUAUGGAAAAUAAGUGGCAUAAUUACUGGUAAAUCUGAAGAAAUCAGCUUUAGGGUACCAUUGCAAUUCUUGUUUAGCUGGUUGCUCAAGAGUGAGGUAUCAUAGUCAAACACAUGAAGAUUUUGAUUUGUGUACCGAGUGCUUCAACAGUAGCAAAUUCGAAGUUGACAUGUUUCCUUCAGAUUCCAUUUCUAUUGACCUUGUUGAGGAAGAACAAACAACAAAUGAUUCAUGGGAUGUGCCUACAGAAUCUUUUUUUUUAUGAAGUAGAUGUGCCUAAAGAAUCUACAACUGUUGAUGGCAGCACACAUUUUGAGAUUGCAACAAUAAACCCAGUGUAAUCCCUCGCCCCAAUUUUUUUGGGCCUACCUCUACCCCUCCUAAAGCUCUCUACGGCCAAAAUCUCACACCUCCUUACCGGGGCAUCCACACAUCCAGUGGCGGACCCAGGAUUUUCGUUCAGGGGGUUCGAAAAAUAAAAGUAUAAAUGUGUAUAUAUAAGCCAACAAAAUAAAAUUUCAAGAAAGUAGUAGUAUUUAGUUUUAGUGGUGGACCCUUGAAUUUUUUUGGGUUUAAAACCACACUUUUAGCAUGUUUUAUAAAAUAAAACGUGAAAACGGAACUGUAACAGUAAUAUAUCCUUGUAUAUUAUGUGUAUAUAGAUCUUGUAUCUCUUGCUUAAGUUAUUGUAUAUCAUGUGUGUAACAUCAUAUAUAUGACAUACAUGUGAUACAUCUUGUGUAUGUUUGAUCUGUGUUUACUUUACGUCAUGUGUAUGCACAAGCUAGGUAUGUACAGUGGCGGACCCAGGAUUUUCGUUCAGGGGUUCGAAAAAUAAAAGUAUAAACGUGUAUAUAUAAGCCAACAAAACAAAAUUUCAAGAAAGUAGUAGUAUUUAGUUUUAGUGGUGGACCCUUGAAUUUUUUUGGGUUUAAAACCACACUUUUAGCAUGUUUUAUAAAAUAAAAAACUAAAAAAAACGUGAAAACGGAACUGAAACCUUUAAAAAAAAAAAAAAAAAACUGAAACUGGAAAAGAAAAAAAUAAAACGCUAAUGCAGGGAUUCGAACCCUCGACAUGAGGCUUAAUUUUCAAGGAAAAUGCCACUGGACUAUCUCUUUCUCCUUGUCAUUGAGGGGGUUCAAAAUAUAUAUAUUCACAUAAAUACAGAAAAUUACCUUAUAUAUACAGUGUAAUUUUUUGCCGAGGGGGUUCGGGUGAACCCCCUGGAACCAACGUGGGUCCGCCCCUGCACACAUCUCCUCUUCAUAUGCCCGAACCAUCUCAACCUCCCUUACUGCAUCUUAUUUUCCAUGGGGGCCACUCCCACCUUGGCGCGAGUAUCUUCAUUCCUAAUCUUAUCUCUCUUGGUAUGCCCACACCAUCCUAGCAUCCUCACCUCUGUUACUCUCAUCUUCCGGGCAUUGGACUUCUCGAUUGGCCAACACUUUGCACCAUAUAGCAUAGUCUGUCUAUAAAACUUUUUUGACAAAGGUAACAAUUUUGUGUAUAAAACUAAAAAGAGCUAAAAACCUGGUCAAGCUUCUAAGGCUUUCUUCAUUCUCCUUUCUUGGUUUUUGAUGCAUGUAGUUAAUCAAAAAUCAAGAUGACAUCAAAAGUAGGAGACUAUUUGUCAAGUACGGUAUAGACACCAGGGGAACAAUAUAAAUCAAACAUUACAUUUCAAUUUUAUUUUCAUAUUUUUAUAUAAGCCUAAAUUAAAACACAUACGGCAAGAUACAUUCAGAUGCCAUACUAUAAAAGAAAUGCAAAAUCAUGUAUUCCAUCAAGUUGUAUGAUAAUAUUUAAACACAAGAUGCAUAUAAAUGUCUAAAUCUAGCGCAAAAUUACGUAAAAUUGAAGAUAAGUUAUUUUCAAUGUUAAAUAGACUUGUAUGUAACAGUAUGCAAUGAGGUUCAGUGUUCAUUUAAGCCCACUAUUAUGUUUGCUUAUCUUCAACCAUUUCUGUUUCUUUUUUACCGUGGACUAUGAUGCUCAUACAGAAUACAACAAUUUGUCAGCAAAAUAUUUUUUUGCAUUUUGGGCUAAACUUAGAUUGGAGUAUAGGCCACCAUUAGGAGCUCAACUAUUUCUAGUCCAACUCAGAACUCAUACUUGGGUAUACUAAAAACAUGAACUCUCACAAUUAGCAUCAUACUGGAGAUCAAAGUACCUAUACUUUAAAAACCGCUUACUGCCUUGCCAACCAUUUUUUUCUCUGCUCUAAUUUGUUCCUUUCUCAUCUCUAUAUGGUGAACUAGUUAUCCGACGGAAUUAAUUCUGAGUGGAACAGAAGACCAUUGAAAUUGAUACUUGAACCGAAGGUAGAACAUACCUGACCAGCUUGUGAAGAUAUGAUAGCGAUGGACCCAGGUCCACGGUCAGCCCUAUUCUUCAUUCCAGGCAAAGCAGCUUUAAUCAAAUGAAAAGUCCCGAUCAAGUUGACAUCAAUCAUAAACUUGAUCUCCUCAAUAUCUUGAGUCUCCAAUUCUUGAGGUACAAAAACUCCCUGAUUGCACACCAACACAUCGAUUGGUCCUGCCUCUUCUACAGCCUUCUUAACAGCCUCGUAGUCUCUCACAUCAGCGCUGAAAAUGGCCACGUCACGGCCAGUAGAAAGCCGAAUUGACUCCUUCGCAUCUUCGAGUCUACCAAUGUUACGAGCAAGUAUUGAAACUUUUGCACCUUCUGAAGCAGCCUGUUGAGCUAGAGCUAAGCCAAUACCGCUUGAGCCGCCAGUGAUGAAGACAUGGCGAUUUUUAAUUGGAACUUUGACGGGGUGUGGUCGGACGAUGAAGGCGAGGAAAACUAGGAGGGAUAGAGAGAAGAAAGGGAGGAGGAGAGAGAAAAAAGAAAUGCUCAAGUCCGCCAUAGACAAAUAGUCGCAGAAAAAUCUUAGGUUGCCUUUGGACCUGCAAUAUGAAGAUCAGCGCAAUUCGGGAUAUGAGCUUUGGAAUUUCAAAUCUGAUUUCAAUGAAUUCAGAUCAACGAUUUGGGAUUUCACCAUUGCAAAUUUUUUAAAUAUUAAAUUUUGAUUUAGGACUUUGAAUAAUUAAAGUUUUAACUAUUAAAUUUUUAUUUGAGAUGAGUGUCAAAAAUACACUUAAACUAUUUAUUUUUUUUAGUUCCAUAACUAAACCAUUGAGAAUGUGAGUCCAUACCUAAAUAUCACUUAUUAGUUUGAGAAACACACAUCUCUAUCUUUUAUUUGAAAAAACAUUGACACAUGGCAUUCCACAUGGAUAAAGUAUUCCACCCUGACAAAAAUUAAAUAAUAAACUAUUAAUAUUAAUUAAAAACUAAAGAUUAAAACAUCACUAUUCCAAAAAAAAAAAUAACAAAUUAUUUUUUUAAAAAAAACUAAUUAAAAAUAAAAUUUAAAGGAUAUAGAAGAUCUUUUAAUGAAAUAUUUACAUACAUUAUAUAAAAUAAUAAUAAUAAUAUAACAUUGUUGAAAUAUAUUAAAGGUAUAAAAAAAUUGUCUAACAUAAAGAUGAAAAUUGAAGAAUUUCUUUUUUUCACAAAUUCCCUCGAUGGUAGAAGGGAAAGAUCUUUAGAUAUUAUUCUUUUCAUAAUCUUUAAAUUUUGUUGGGAUAUAUAUAUAUAUAUAUAUAUAUACUAGAUGUGGUGUGCCCGUGCGCUUGUGGUCGACAUUAUUGUUUGUUUAUGCUAUUUAAUUUGACAAAAUAUAAGGAGAAUAUAAAGAUGCAACAAAGAAAUUUUAGUAAGCUAUAAAGUAAGCAAGAAUGACCUUUACCAAUAAUCAUUCAAGAAUGUGUUAAAAGAAGCUGACUUAGGAGAUUAAUUUGAAAGUUAAAGAGCUGCUUAACUCUUCUCCCAUAAAGAAAAAUAAUAGAAAUCAACCAACCUAUUUGUGUAUUAGAAAAACAAGGAACCAAAGAAGCAUCUGGAGCAGCUAACUCCACAAAUUCCAGGACACUUUGUAUCUGCAAUUUACAAAGUAGGAGUUGAAUAUAUCAAUUGUGUAAUGACACCACAGCACACCCACACACACCCACACACUGUGUUAUCAACAUCAAUUAAUUUUGGGCUGAUGUAAAAUUUGUUCAACUAUCUAGCAUUCUUUUUGUCCUCCGCAUCCACAUUUGCCUCAUGUCUUAUGAGAAAAAUAGUUACCUAUCAAGCAAAAAUCAAAUCUAAAGAUAUAUUAAGGUAUCGACACUAUUGUUUUAAUACAUGAAGCAUCAAUUAGGAAACGAUGAAAAGAUUUCUACUACCAACUUGGAUGAGCAAAAGAUCACACUUCAAUUUCAAAGUUAUAAUCAAAAUUUAGAUUUGUCCAUUUUAUUGAUUACUUUAGGCACAAUCUUUAGUUCUUCUAGAACUACUAUAGCCAAUUGAAAGAACUUGAAGUUGCUGCCCUUAAACUCAGAUCAAUGGACCAGAUGAUGCCUUUAAAAGGACAUUCUAAAGAAUAUUUGUGUCAUAAGCCGAAACAACUGAAGAUAACUUUUGAUUUUUUAGUCGCAAAGAUUUUUUUCUAAAAAGAAUGUGGCAAUCAUUAACUUGCCUAUAGACCUAGAUAGUUCUUUCAGAAGGAUUCCAUCUCAAUUUUCAGGCGACAUAACGAUUAUAAAUUCAUACUUAGAGCCUAUAUUAUUCAUUGUCAUUUUAUGUUGAAUUUUUGUAGAUAUGUUUGUUUUAACAAAGAACUGUGCAUGACGGUGAAAAUCAAACCAAGAAAACAAAACCUGAUGCAAUUUGAGAUUAUUAAACACAUGGUCUAGUAGAGAGGGAGAGAAUGAAAAGAGUGGAAGAAACAUAAGAAGAAGUAAUAGAGACUAAAAUUGGGUGACAAUGAAAAAAUGAAAGAGAACGAAUGAACGUCAGGUGUGAGGAGAUGCACCCUGAUUUGAACUAAAGUUCAAAAAUUGAGCUUCCAAUCAAAACUUUCAGAAGAAAUUAUCGUUGUUGGCUUGCUACAUUAGCUUGACCAGCAUUUUUUAAUACAGCGUGAGCCUGAAAAGUGGUAUCUAGUAUUUUUAUAAGAAGACAGGACUUCAAAAGUAGUCAAGUUUGCUGCCCAUGACAUCAAGUUACUAAUAUAUACUUCUAAUAUGCUUCUCGGAUUCACAAAAUAGUAAAAAUUCAUGAAAGUCUGGAUUCAUUCCUAAAUAUGAAUGGAGAUGCAUCCCUUUCUCUAAUAAAUCAUAAAAAUACAAAAGCAUCGGCUUAAACGUGUGAAGGAGACCAAUAAGAUAGCAUGUUAGCUUAAUUUAAAGCUUUUUUUGGCUCAAUAGUAACCAAUUGCAACGACUUUUCUUCUUGUUGUAUCACAUCAUUGCUUAAGUCAAUAUAGGGUAAACAAACAGUAUGCAGAGUACAGAACUACAAUAGCAUGUGAAAGUUGCGAGUUGGUAGUUCUAGAGUUGACAAAAAGUUCCUUCACCAUAAGUGAGGCAAAAUAACAAGUACAGUUUCUACUACAUACCGUUUUAGAUGCAUUUAGUGUGCCUUUACAGUAUAGUAUAGGUGCAGCUGCAACAACAUUUGUAGUAAAUGCCCCUGGAUGAAAAACAAGAAAAAGGUGAUUCCUGAUUCAUCGGUUUCUAUUGGUUGAUUGUUAGAAGGUAAGUUUUAACACAACCACCAAACAAUGUGUUCCUUUUUCAUUUCAAGAAAGCUAUGUAUCCUUUUGUCUUACAAGGAAUGAGUGGGUGGGGAAAGGAGGUAAGAAUUUUAAACAAACAACAAUAUAGCUUUCCAUUCAUGAACCUACGAAAAGCUCAACUCUGAUAACGUAGGACUAUGGAGUAUGAGAAACCAGAGAGCUUGAGCGUUGGAAGAACAAAGAAAGUCGGCAAAGUAAUCAAAAAAAUAGGAGACACGUCUAACACCGAAGAAGAGAAUAGGUAAAUGUACACUCAUUAGCAUCACAGAUGCACCACAUGUAGGUAGAGAAGACAAAUACUACAGAAAAAGUAAAUCAUUCAUCACAUGUCAUGAAGUAUAAGUAACAAGGCCAAGCAAGACAAUAGUAUAUGAUCAAAAGUCAAAACUAUACAUAAAAGCACACUUUAAUACAAUCUAUGUUGCCAUAAUCGGGAUCAUUGAGAAAUGAAGCCACAUUCUAGUUAGAGCAGAGUUGGAAUUUUUAACUACUCAAAUUAUAGUGUUUAUAGCUGGUUCCAUAUACCAAAAUUGGUAAAGCAGUGUAAUUUGGAUCUUCUGAUGCAUUUCUUCAUCCACCAUAAAUUUUAUUCUAUUUCUUUCAUUCCAGGUGUGGGAUAAGACAAACAGGUGCAUUUUUAACUGGUGCAGCUCCUAAUGGUCUAUUUGGACUUGGUAUUGAAAAUAUAUCUGCCCAAAGCAUGUUAGCAAGUAAAGGUCUUGCUGCAAAUUCUUUCUCUAUGUGCUUUGGACCUGAUGGUAUUGGAAGAAUAGUGUUUGGAGAUAAAGGAAGUCCAGGCCAAGGAGAAACACCACUCAAUCUUGAUCAACCAUAGUAAGUUGUCACUUUGAUUUUCUGGUUUUAACGUUAAGGGAAGUGAGAAUUCAACUAAAUAUGUAUUUACUAGUUCUCUCUCUCUCUGAAUGCAGCCCAACUUAUAACAUCAGCCUGACAGGAAUAACAGUAGGAAGCAAGAUCACUGAUUUUGAUUUCAGAGCCAUUUUCGACUCUAGCACUUCAUUCACAUACUUGAACGAUCCAGUUUACAAAGUCAUUACAGAAAACGUGAGUGAGAAACUAAUUGGAUGAGUUAUCUAUGGAGUGUGUUCUUUGUAUUUUAAAACUGAAUAAUUUGCUUCUUUUGCAGUUCGAUUCUGAAGCAAAAAGGCCGCGUAUUCAACCUUAUGGCGAAAUUCCUUUUGAGUACUGCUAUGGGAUCAAGAAAAAAGAAGAGGUUGACUGAGUAAUAUGUUAAAUGGGUGGUUAUUUAGUUAUAUUCUGUUUGUGUUCAGAUCAUAAGGCCUCCGGUAUGUGUUCACCCAGAAAGAAUUGAAUCUUCGUCAAAGGAGAUGACUUGAAUUCCUCAAAGACUAUGACAUGAAUGUGCUUUACCAUCCAGGUAAGGCCAAUGUAGUGGCCGACGCUCUCAGCAGACUAUCUAUGGGUAGUGUAGCACAUGUUGAGGAAGGAAAGAAAGAGUUAGCCGGAGAUGUUCACCAGCUUGCUCGCUUAGGAGUUUGCCUUACGGACACGUCAGAUGGUGGUGUGAUAGUUUAGAAUGGAUCAGAAUCCUCAUUGGUAGUGGAGGUUAAGGAAAAGCAGGAUAGUGAUCCUAUAUUACUUCAGUUGAAAGGUGUAGUUCAUCAGCAAAAAGUUGAGGUUUUCUCCCAAGGGGGAGAUGGUGUACUUCGUUACCAUGGUAGCUUAUGUGUUCCAAAUGUGGGUGAGUUGAUGCAGCAGAUCAAUCAAAUUAAACAAAAUAAAAAAUAAUGAAGUUACUGCCACUUAAUAGUAAAGGGAUAAAGGGACACCAUUCAUGAUAAAUUAUUUUAAAAGCCUAACAUUUCUAUCCCUUAAAUAAAAAUGGCAACAAAAGAUAACAAAACAAUACAUCAAGCUUUUAGCACAAUUCGCAUACUAAAGAUUGGAGGAAUUAUCCUAUAGCACACAAACGGAAGAGAAUCUACUGAUUUAGACAUGAAUCAACAAAUUAAAGGCUUCAACAAAAUCUGAUUCAAAACAACAACUCUUUAACUAAAAAAAAAUCAACUAAUUUUAAAACAAGGAAACUAGCAAUACAAUGUAAACAAUCAAUCACCACAUUCAUAAGAAACUAUCACCUUAUACCUUUAAAACAACAAACAACAUUAGUCUCUGAUGGGGGGAUCACAUUCCAAAUAAAUUGAGGAGGCAAUGAUGAAACCAUUAAGAGGUAAAGAACAUGCUAUUUAACAAUCUUCCUAACGAAUUCAACGACCAACUAAGGCAAGAAACAAAUACUACACUGAAAGAAAAAUCAAAACCUCACAUUUUAUAAACUCAACUACAAAUGGUGAGCACUUUCGACUAAAAUUUAGACAAAAUGGGGACAUAAACUCGAUUCAAACAAAGCAUGCUGGACAGCAAGACAAUUCUGGAAUUUGAAAAUGGAGAAAAUCAGUGACUACAUCAACAAACGAUAGAUAAAACGUCAAACAACCUUCAUACUAACUGGUUUAAGAUUCUUCCCCUAUUUUUGAAAAGAAAAAUGCCAUUAACAUAGCAAAAUGAAUGAGACCAUUGAUGCUAAGAGACAGCGAAAACAAGAAAUACGAAAUCAGCGACAUCAAAGCAAGUAUACGAGAAGCAAAACAGCAAGAAACGAAUUCAAACAGAGGAGCAAAGAUGCUAAAUACAGAACACGAAAUUAAUUUGACACCGAGACUGAAUCGCAACUUCACAGUAAGCAAGACGAGAUUAACAAUGAAAUAAGACAGGAGAAACCAACUCAACAUCAAAUGGGAUCAUCAAAUCUCAAACGCCAAAGACUGAAAAGGAAACAAAUAAAUUCGCGAAUGAACAGACCAUCUACUGAUUCAUAGCCAACAUUCAAUCGGAAUACGCCUAAAAUCAUAACAUUUGAACGCUUAGUCAGUCAAGAAUCGAGUAGUCCACACAUUAAGAAAUAAAGAGACAUGGGCUGAAAUAAAUGUUACCGCAAACUGGAACAAGAAACGAGCUGGAAAUUAACUAUUCCACCACCACACGAAAGCAAAUUCUUCAACUAAUCCGAAAGAGGUGGACGUCCUUGAUGAACUCGAGUGUCCUACGUGCUCAAUCCUACGCGAUCAAGGACAAAUCAAGGGCUGUUGGCAGCUGUACUGUUGAGGCGAGGAGAGGAAGAAGACGCGUACAGUGUACUAGAAUCGCCGUUUGAUUCCGGAUUUGCUGGACUGGUGCAUCUUUUCGCUGAUUUCUCGGUCCUGGUCGCCUGAAGAAGAUGAUCAUAGGGGUCGUUGGUACUGUAUUGUACGCUAUUGGAGGACAGAAAAUUAAAUAAUAAGUCUUGGUUUUGUUUUUUACGACACUUUGACCUCAAAUUCACUUUAAAAUGUAAUUAAAUAAAAAUGGGACCAAAUUAACAUUUUCAAAACUUUCUAAUUUUUUAUAAAAAUACAAAAAAACACUUCAUUUUUCAACUUUUAUAAUUCUAUCCAAACCAUUUUAAAAAAAAAAGGUAAAAGAAAAUAGAAUUUUUUCUUCUUUCUCCUAACGUUCUCUCUUCUCUUCUUCUUCUUCCAUAGAAAUUUCAAAAAUCCGACUAUCAAAACAAAUAUUCUCCCCCAUUAUCUUAUCUUCCUCUUCAUCUCCAGUCGUGACUCUCUCCUCUUUCUGAACUGAAGAUUGUGUUCGACUUAAAAUGGAUAAGUCAUUUUUUUGAAAGAUUUUACAAUUUUUGAACAAUACUAAGUUUUUUUCUUGGGUUAAUGAACAAUAAAUCGUUCUAUAGAUGUGAAAAUUGAAUAAUGGUGUAAUGGUACCUAUUAUUUACAGUUUUUGAACAAAUCCAAAAAAGCCCUAAUUUUGAGGAAAUGUAUAUGUAUUAUUAACAUUUAGUGAAAAGUCAUUUUUUGUCGCUUUUGUUGUUCUUUUUAUGAGCAUUUUGUUCAUAUGAUUUUAGAAAUAUAGUCUUGUUCAAUUGUCCAACAUAUAUUUCAUUUGUUGAAAGAUGUGUCGUAUGUUGUUACAUUUUAGUGAUAUAUUGGUAUAUGUUCCAAUAGAGUUGUCAUGUUGGAACAUAUAACCUAUGUGUUAGGGCAACAAAAUGGUCAUCUAUAGUAACAGAAGAUUCAUCUGUGGCACAUGAAUAUUCAUCUGUGGCCACAAAAGAUUCAUUCGUGGCAACAGAAGGUACAUAUGUGGCAACAGAAUGCCCGUCUGUGUCAACAUAAGUAUAAAUUGCUAUCCAUUAUUAUUUUAUAAUCAAUUAUAAACUCUCAACCUUUUAUUAUUUACCUUGUAGAUCAAAUGAUACAAAAAGUUUCAUCCAUGACAACAGCUCAAUCUUUUAUUGGUGUUGCUUCCUCUUCUAACAUCAAAUGUUCUUUUUGUCUAUGCGAAGAAUGUGAGCAGCAACAUGAUUAUUUUAUUAGUCGUGUUAAAGAACUCACUGAGCAGCAACAUGAUCACUACAAUGUGAGCAGCAACAUGAUCACUACAAUGCGAAAAAUGUGAGCAACAACAUGAUACUACAACAUUUUGGGCUUUUAGCCACCCCAGUAAAGUGUAGCCUAACCUAGCAAAAAGUGUGGUCUUUGAUAAAAGGCUACACUUUUGAACUUUAAGCAACGCUUUUUAAGGGGUGGCCAAAAGAAGCGUAACCUUUGACAUGAG